CAUAUUAUUUCCAGGGCAUACGAUAGUUUGAUUAUCUGUGGAUGAUUUCUUUCUCAUUCAAUGCCCUUUUUCAGUCGUCUCGAAGAUAGAAAUUUUGCAUUUUUAUCUAUGGGGUCACAACCAAGGUCGUGCUAAAUCCAGGAAUUUCAUUUAAUUCAUUUUUUAUACUAUAGAAAAGAAAUAAAGAAAUAAACAUUUGAAUUCAGCAUUAUUCCAUGAUUUCUAUUUCAAAGCCUAUUUUUCAGGGAAAACCCCUCUUUUCUCAUUCGCUCUCUCUAUUGCAUGGGUGGAAGAACAAAAAUAGAAUUCUGAAAAAAGCACCAUAAAACUUUAUUUAGUAGUGAUAAUUUCCCCUACAUGUGUGCUUGAAUGAUUUAAAUUCAAGCUUACACACAUGCAUGAGUAUGAAAUUUGUGGAAAUAUUGUCAAUGAUGUUAAGGUAUAUAAGAUAAAGAUGUACCUUUGUAACAUGUCCACUCAGUAAAAACAUAAUGAUGACAUGUCGUGCCACGUUAGAGCACACUAAUGAAAGUUCGAGGACUGACAUAACAUUAAAGUUUGGAGACCCAAGUGACACAACAUUUUAAGUUGGGGACCCUAAGUUGCUCCAACAUGGCAUGCCACGUCGGAAUCCGGUUUUGUAAUCCCGGCUUUUGAUGGUUUUGUAUGGAUUGACAAAGUUCGAGGACCUGGGUGGUAAGUGACACAACGUGUCAAGUUCGUGGACCGCUAGUGUACUUUACUCUAUUAGAUUCAUACAAUAAUUAGUGUAUGUGUUUUGUAUAUGUGUCUAGAUUCAUUAUCAUUUAUUAUAAUGUAGACAUAAAAAGAAAGUGAUAAAACGAACUCUAUUGUGGGAUGGAGGGAGUAUAAUUCAUUCAUUCUAUAUACCUAGAUUUUGUUGUUGUUUCUAUGUUUUCUUCUCAUACAUUACAUGUACUGCAGAUCAUUCCACAGAAAAGCAAAAAGACCAUUGAGCAGAUUAAGAAAAAUAUUUGCCCGGUAUGGAUAAAUUUCAAUAGUGCUAUUCCUAUAUGGUACUCCUUCCGUCCAAAAAAUAAAGUUUGGUUUACCUUUUUAGUUGAUUCAUACAAUAAUUAAUGUAUUUGUUUUACAUAUGUGUCUAAAUGCAUCACCAUCUAUUUGAACAUACAGGUUAGGCAUUGAUAGAAUUAUACUUCCAGUUUAAAACCCUUACCUUGAUUCACUGAUUUCUCCUAGGCAUUAAGUGUGAGACAGAUAUAUCGCUUAUGUACGAUGUACUGGGACGACAAAUAUGGUACUCAUAGUGUAUCAGCUGAGGUACAUUCUCAUCUUCUCUUUUGUGACAUGCAGUCAUGCUUCUUGCUUUCAGCUAACUCAGUGUGUUCUUUGCAGGUUGUUGCCAGAAUGAGGGACAUGGUGAGUAAUGACAUGCAAAAUCCUGUCUCUAAUUCAUUUCUUUUAGAUGAUGACUUAAGGUUAGUUGUCCCUGGAACUUCAGUUCAUGAACUUAUAUAUCGUUCUGUCUUAACCUUUUGCAUGAUUCAUGCACUCAUUAACUUACAUCUAGUCUAUCCUUCCUAAUUUACAAUUGCAGCAUUCCUUUCACAACCGAGGAAAUUGCAGAGCAAGUACCAGAUGUUGACAUGUCAAACAUCGAAACUCCCGCAUCUCUUCGUCAUGUUCAUUCUGCUCAGUUCUUGACGCAGCACCUUCAGCCACCUUAUACGUCUCGAUGAAUUGCCUAGGUUUUUGCUUUGGUAACAAUUAGUGAUGCCGAGGUAGUGAACUUAGAGGAUUUGAUAGGUCGGUGGUAACUAUAACCAUCAUUGUUGAUUUAAUCCAUGCUAAUAUUCAUUCCACCGUAUGCUUUUUUGUUUUAUAUUUUUGACAUGCCUCGUGUCAUCAUGUCAAGCCCAAAGUAGACUACAUUCUUUGUAGGUCGCUGUCAAAUUUCAGAUCCAUUAUCUAGUCAUCAAUCCAUCAUUAUGCUGAGUCCUUUAUAUUGCUAAACCUGGGAUAUACUUGUGGUAUUUUUCCUCAUCCCUGACCUGGACAACAGAAGUUCGUAUUAUAGUGAUGACAACAGAAGUCUAGCGGUAAUGAUAAUGACACAAGUAUCAUGAUUUUCUUCAAGUAAAAAAAAUUCAUGGCCAAUUUUCAAGUUUUUACCUGGCCUAAAACACCGAUGACCUAGCAAAUGAGAGUUACUAGCAAACAUGUGCAUACGUUGCAUGGACUCCAUAAUUUGUUGCAUGUUCGCUUGAGCUUUAAGUCGCAGCUGAUUUUCAAGUUUUAUCUCCAGUACUAGCAAUCAAAACGGUGAGAUAAGCAGCCGCUGCAGCAGCCGACCGCCCACGAAUUGUUAAUAUCUUGGAAUCGAUGGCUUCAGAUAUCUUUCAAUCGGAAUUUGUGAAAGUGAAAAAAAAGACGGAUAGAAGAAUACGGACAUAGAGGGUGUGAGUGUGAGAGCGCUGUGGGAAGAAAUAAAUGCAUGGAAGGAAUAGAUCUCGUGAUAUUGACCGGAUCGAUGAGCUCUUUUUUUUAAACGGCAGGAGCUCUGCCCAUUAUUUAAGGGAAAAGAGUUUAGAGAGUACAAACAACAGUCUGAGACCGGACAAACCACACCCGAGCACACUCAAAGGGAGGCUAAGCCCCACACCCUAAAUGGCUAGCAGGAAGCAGCAAUAUGAAAAUUACAUGGGAAGCAAGGCCCGCCUAAAUUGUGAAACAUCUUCUUUAAUUCUUAAGGCGACUUGGACCGGAGGAAGGGCGACGCUUUCGAAAAUCCUGCGAUUCCUCUCCUUCCAAAUGUUCCACAUUGUGUAAAUCACGAUUCUAUUGAAAGCGCGUUUCUGAUUUUUUGGUAGUAGGGGAGUCGCAGCUUCCCACCACUAUGAAUUGAAACAUAUUACUAACUCCGUUUUUCUUAUUUUUCAUAUUUUAGUUUAAAAAUAAAUUAACGGACAAUAAAUUUUCGAGAACAGAGAUAGUAAAUCGCAGCUAGACGAUGACAACUACACGGUAGCGAUGUCACUCUCCAGCUUGUCCAGACGACCGAUGUAUACGACAACAUAUGUCAAUCAAAUUUCUGAAAUCGCUAUACACAGACAAUAGCGCGAGUCCGAGACAUAGGGAAUCUUGGACCGAGUGGAUCAGAUGUAACUAACGUCAGUCAGAUAUAACUCUAUCCACUGUUUUUAAUUUGUCGCGAUUUAGUUUAAAAAUUAAUUAGUAGAUAAUAAAUAUUAGAGAAUGGAUUUAGUAAUACUCUUCUAAAUGGUAAAUGCAAAGCUACCGGCUUCUGCCUAGCUAGCUGGCUAGCUUAAAUAGUUUCUUUGCGGAAGCUCCUGCGUCCGGACGGCUACCUCCCGCAUGGUGUGAUUCCUGCAAAAAAACAUUACGUAUGUUGCGUAAUAACUUUUAAUCUUCAAGUGAAGUAAAUAAAAAACUUCUGCCGAACCAUUGCCACCAGGUCGGAUAUGACGUGUCGUUCAAUUUCCAAAGAAAAAAAAGGAAAAAAAAAGGAAGUAUUUGCAGCAUAUAAAAUCAUCGUAUGCAACAUCACAAACUUCCUAAUGCAAUAUCUAAAAUAUCAUGUACUACAACAUCAAAACUAUCCACUACAACAUCACAAAUUCAACGAUGGAAAGCCUCUGAAACUAGAUAAUCGCGUGCAACAUCACAAAUUGUCAACUGCAGUAUCACAAAAUCAGCAUAAAAAACAAAACAUCUCGAUCAAAACAUUUUUCAAUGUUGCAACAUAUGGAAAAGGUCAUGCCAACACCUAAAUUCACUUGCGAAAGCAGAGAGAAAUGGCUAAAACUCAUAUGCUCUGUGUUCGCUGCAGCGAAUGCAACGGCUGCAAGUCUCCUCACAGGGGCACUGCAGCAGCAGCCACUGCUUUAGUGCAAUCGAAUAGGCCCUAAAAUUUUGUGACGUUUAGAUAAUUUAUUGCAACAUCCAAAAACCAUAUAUUGUAACAUCCCCAAUGUCUCAUGCAACAUAGAGAAACAAUAAAUACAACAUCAUAAAUCAGCUAUUGUAACAUGUUGGUCAUGCAGGCUUGGAUGUGCAACAACAAGGGGAUGUGUUUGAGGGUGGAAGUUUCAGUUCCAACUACAUGUUCUAGUCUGCCACCAUCCAUCUUUAAAGGGAUCAUGGCACAUAAGAGAGAGUGAAUUAUGCUUUCUAAAAGCUUAUACUCUAACUCGGCCUCUAUUUUCUUAUUAACAAAAUCUAUGCAAAGAUAAUCCAUCUGGAUAUGUAAAAGACUUGUUCAAUUCAAAGACCUAUAAUUUGGUUUUGUUAAUUGAAUGGUCACUAGUGAACUUAUGCUUUCAAUGAGUUAUGAUUGAGCUAGAGUCCACACCAAGGUGGUGAGCAAGGCUAGGAGAUGGAUGAAGGGUGAUCACUCCAUAUGAAGCAAGCUCACACUUGUUGAGAAGAUGAAGAGGUGAAAACAAGCUCGAAGGGUAUGUGCUAAGGAUUUUCAUUUCACUAGUUGAGACACAAUAAGUGUAUGCUCAGAUUUAAUAUAGAUAUCCAUACUAUUAAGAGGAGAAAUCUAAAGUAAAAUGGUUAUAUAAGUGAUGUAGGAAAUGGUGACACUUAAGAGGGGGGUGAAUUAGAACUCCUUAGAAACUAUCUCUAAACUAGACCACAAAUAAAUGACUAGAGCAAAACCCAUGCAAAUAAACAAACUAAAAUGUGCAAACUAGGUUUUGUCUAAGUGUUGCUAUCUCUACCGCAAAAAUAGUUUUGCAACCUAAGUUCCAAUCCUAAUUAUUCUAACUAGAAAGUAGAGAUUGAAACUUAAGUACUUAAUGUAAAUGCAGAAGGUAAAGAGCAAAGGAAGAGAUGCAAAACUCUAGUGGACGAUGCUAGUAUUUUUACCAAGGUAUCCAAAACCACGCAAGGUCCCGACUAAUCCUCGUUGGUGCCCCUACGCAAAGGGUAGCCCACGUGAGGGCCAAGCACCAUGAACGAGUAACUUCGUUGAGAGCAACUGGACUUUUCCACACACAAGUGGUGCUCCGCUUCUGUCCUCCUCUCGGAUGCUCCUCGUCGUCUUCACUAUCGAGCUUCCGGGUGAAACGCCAUGGGCGUCGUUCCCUCCGAUACACGGUGGCGGUCUUGGCACAACCGCGGUUGUCACGGUCUCACAAGACUCUCUCCCCACUUGGUACAAUUACAACGGUUCGCGUAAGAGCAGAGGGGUUAUGUGGUUUUUUCUAAACUCACUCAACUAACUAGGGAUCAUCUAGAGCAAGCGCAAUAGCGGUCUAACUAAGCUAAGCACUUUGCAAAGCACCUACGCUAAUCAUCAAGUGAUUCUAAUAUGCACUUAUGUGUUGGAGCUCUUGGAAAUGUGCCUCUAUGCUUGGGAUAUGUUUCUUGUGCUCCUCACUCCUCAAAUGCCAGGUUGGAUGGGGUAUAUAUAAGCCCCAACUCGAAACUAGCCGUUGGAGAAGAAACAACAGCUUUCUGUUCACACUGGACAAUCUGGUGUGCAUAGCCGUUGGAUUUGACUAUUGCAAUUCAACUGUUGGCAUGUUGACUUCUCACACCAGAUAGUUCGACCUCUAGCAUCGGACAGUCCGGUGUCUCUCCUCCAUAAUGCCACCUAGAACUAGUCAUUGGGCUCCUGUUCCCUAGUGCACCAGACAGUCCGGUGAGCCUCCAAUGCACCUCUAGUGCACAGGCUCACAUCCCUUCUCAGUUUUGUUCACUUCUUUUGAUUGAGCUUCUUUUGGACUUGUGCCUUGGACUUGGACUUGAUAUUUAUUGGUCUUCUAAUUAUCUUUUAGGUCUUCUUUUCAGGUGUUGCAUCCUCAAAGCCUUAGUUCAAUCCACUUCGCAUCCUGUGAACUACAAAAAACAAACACUUGGGAAACAUUAGUCCACAUGGUUAUGUUGGUUAGAUAUUGCUACACAUAAUCAAUGUUAACUAAAUCAUUUAAUUAAUGACUUAUGUAAUAUAGUAAAACUAUGCUUUUUAGCAUCAUGGAUCUAGGGACUAGAGCAUGGAGUUUAUUGCUCUAGAUUCCUCUCCCUACAAAUGAUCCUAAAGUAGCCACCUAGGAGGUAUUGUACAACCACAAACAUUGCAUGGCUCUUAAUCAAGUAACUACCACAUCUCUAUCUUGUUGUGGUUAUAAAAAGGCUCAAGAGGGGGUGCCAAGUUAGGUACGACUCUUGUCCUACCAUGGUGUGUGUUAGGCUAUAAAUCAUUGGUGUGCCACUCUUGAAGGAGAGCAUCUAUAUAUGCUUGGUCAAUCCAAAACCUUAGUACUUGAUAUAUAAUUAGGGCGUCUAGUGAAAGAUUACAUAGUGAAACCCUACCAUACUUCCUUGGAAGAAGUGAUGUUGGCCUUACAAACCUUGACAUUUAGGAAUCAUGACUCAUGGAUAUAGUUUUACACAUUCUGCAUAAUGAAUUAUUGACUUAUUAUAAGAAUCUGCUCUUGGAUAUGAGUGGCUUAAAUGCUUCUUGAUUAUUGGUUACCUUGGUAACUUGUAUGAUAUGUGAAUGAUCGAAUAUUGACUAAUAUUACUUUCACUUGGGUAGGGUUAUCUUAAAGUAGUGACUCAAAUUUAAUAAAAUAUGAUCAACCAAAAAUACUAACCAUGGUCAAAUAUUAUAUAGCCUUUUAGCAUUCAUCCAAAUUUGUUAUUCUUGUUAAGAAUGGUGCGCUUACGCUUGUGUUAUAUUUAAUGAAAACCCUAGACAUGUAUUAGAUGUUGGAUAUGAGGAGUUUCCUGAAGAUGUCCAUGAUUUCUAAUUAUUGUCCAUCGCUCAUAGAUCCCUAUGGAUACCUAGAAUUACCAAAUUGUUUGUGUUGCUUAAUGCAUAUAAGCAUAACUAUGUGUCGUGUCCAGUGCGGGGAAAGGCGUGCUAGAUCAGUAAUAGUGAUGGCACAAUGGGGAAGAUACAUAAUUUACCUUAAUAUCUCUAUAGUAUAGUACUAAGUGGUAUGGGUACUAUGUGGGCCCAGUUUGUAUGUGAGAUUUGCACGCUAUUGUAAAAAGGGAUCCUGUGAACCAAAACGGAACAUGCAAGAAAAACAGAAUCAGAACACUACAGUUUUGUCUAGUGCGGGGAAAGGCAUGCCACAUCAGCAACAGUGAUGGCACAAUGGGGAAGAUACAUAGUUUACCUUAGCAUCUCUACAAUAUAGUACUAAGUGGUGUGGAUAUCAUGUGGGCCCAGUUUGUAAGUGAGAUUUACAUGCUAUUGUUAAAGGGGAGUCUGUGAACCAAAACGGAAAAUGCAAGAAAAACAGAAUUAGAACACUACCACGGAGAGCAACUUCCUCCACAAGUUGACAUACACGUGUGCUCUUCCUUCCACCAUCUCUCUCAAGUACUUUGUAAGUCCAUAUAUCCCGGAGAUGAAUUCAAAACUGCUUUUAAAACACACCAUGGGCAUUUUCAGUUCAGGGUCAUGCCUUUUGGCUUGACCAAUGCGCCAGCUACUUCUCAAUGCCUUAUGAAUGACAUCCUUGCCCCUUUUCUCAGAAAGUUUGUCCUAGUCUUCCUAGAUGACAUUGUAAUCUAUUGUGCCACUUUGGAACAACACCUAUCACACAUCAGACAAGUUCUGUCUCAAUUGAGAUCAUACCAACUUUUCAUGAAAAUGAGCAAGUGUUCCUUUGCCCAAAGUUCUCUGAACUAUUUAGGGCAUAUCAUAUCAAUUGAAGGGGUGGUAAUAGAUUCCUCUAAGACCAUAGCAAUGCAGAACUGGUCCAUUCCAACCAAUAUCACUGAAUUGAGAUGAUUCCUAGGGUUUACUAGCUACUACAGGAAGUUUAUUCAGCACUAUGGUUUGAUUGCUCACCCUCUCAUUAACCUUCUCAGAAAACACCAUAUUUUGUGGACCACACGAGCUACUGAGGCCUUUUUACAAGUGAAAGCUAUUAUGCGAAGUGCUCCUAUCUUGGCUCUGCCCGACUUCACCGAGUAGUUUGUGGUGGAGACUAACACGUGUGACCUAGGUAUAGGUGCAAUUCUCAUGCAAAGAGAUAGACAUAUUGCUUUCCUCAACAAACCCUUAGGCAACCAACACCAGAAACUUCCAAUAUAUGAAAAAGAAUUCCUUGCUCUCAUUUUACUAUUGAGAAGUGGAGGCCAUACUUGCAGAGACAAGAAUUCUUGAUUAAAAUUUUGGCCACCAGAUCUUGGCUUAUCUCAUUGAGAAGCAUUUGCAUUGUGACAUGCAAAGGAAGACUACAACCAGACUAAUGGGCAUGCAGUUUAAAGUGAUCUAUAAGAAAGUCAAAGAAAAUGUGGUAGCUGAUGCUCUAUCUUGGGUCAGUCACCUUAUGGCAGUUGCUACUGUGGCCACAACCCAGUAGGUAUGGAUUCUAGAAGUCCUGAAUAGCUAUAUUAUAGAUCCUAUUGCUCAGACUCUUUUGGAAAAACUCUCAGUCCAUUCUCUAGAUGUGCACGGUUUUUCACUGUCCUAGGGAUUGAUCAGACAUCACAACAAACUUCGGAUUGCACUAAACACUGCUCUUCAAACCAAGUUGGUUCAUUAUAUGCAUUCUACAGUUAUUGGGGGUCACUCAGGUUCCAAGGCCACCUACCAGCACUUAAAGAAAUGGUGAUGACUAAUAUGCAAGCAGUUAUUAGGUGCAAGCGUGUAAACAACUCUCAUUAGUCCAUUAGAUCUAGAUCGAACCGUAUGUGUAAUCGUGGUUUGUUAGGAGCUUUUUUAUAAAGCCACGCGACGUGGUGGUGGGAGGAUUUAAAUGCUAAUUAUGACAUAUUGUUAGAUCUAGAUCUAACGGACCAAGAGACCUGCUUGCACGAUUGCACCUAAUGGCUACUUGCAUAUUAGUGGUUGCCUAAAGAAAUUAUUCCGAUGGAAGGGUAUGAAACAAGAUGUGGACACUUUUGUGAAGCAGUGAGAUGUAUGUCAGCAAGCAAAACAUGAACACACCCUCCGGUCGGGUUGCUUCAACCAUUACCAGUUCCUGCGGGAGCAUCGCAAGAUCUGACAUGGACUUCAUAGAGGGUCAUCCACCCUUGAAUGGCAGUAGCUCAAUUCUAGUGGUGGUUGAUGUUAAGGCCCAUGUGGCCCAUAUUAGUUGUGCCUAUAUAUUCUACUAAGUCAUUAGUACUAAUUGUACUCUCACCCACUAAUCUAAUGUUAGUAACAUGGUACCAAAGUAGGUUAGGGCCUAAACCCAAAUUUUUAGUCACCAUUGCGAUGUCUUUGUCCGUCAGGACACCAAGCCUUCUUCCUGGUCGUCUGAUCAUUGGUCGAUGGUACAGAUUAGAUCCUAUAUCUUAUGAAAUGGUAUGAAAUGUCGUCCGCUAGAUCUGGGGUCGAUGGCCAAAGAGACGACCACAUCUGCGCUACUCCCAGCCCUCCAAUCCAAUCUCGAUAGCCUGAUUUUUAUACGAUGAAGGGGUAUCUCUACUCUAAUUGCGGCGUCCAUGCAUGGAUCGACAGCCACGACUACUCCCCCCAGCCGACAGGCUUCCCACGGCGGAGCUCCUAGGCCACAUUGGCGCUCUUACCAGCGAGAGACAUUCCGGCUCACCGGUGUGGGGGACAGAUAUCCCCCAGGUCCACUAGAAGGCGAAAGGUCCUCGCGCGGGGCCUCGGGCCAGUUACCCUGCAAGGCCAUCCCUUUGUGGGUCGGGCAAAAGCUACUGGCAGAAUGGGCCGACCUAAGAAGGCGACGGACUCGAGCCCAAUCAGUCCAUCAAAUUGUGCACUAUCCAAAGAAACCGUCCGACUUUCCCACGCAUGGCGCCCUCAAAUGUCGUAGAUUAGGGAUAAGUCGGCGGGAUUUUCGGGAGAUCAGUUCAGUCAAUUCACUAUUAUUUAGGGGACAUGUGAUCAAUAUGUACGUAUGGAGUGCCCCACUGUCGUGUAUAUAAGGCCCAGGGGGAACCCCAUCAUUUUCAUUCCCAUCUACUUAUCUCAUUAGCUUUUCUCCAUUCAGGAAACACCGCUUGUAACCCACCAUAUACAGCUCCACCCUAGGAAGUAUGGUAUUACACCUCUCCAAGCGGCCCAAACAUGCAGAAAAUCGUCUGUCUCUCUCGUGUGUCCAGCACGAACCAUUGAGUUACAAUCAACAGCAUUGUCCUACCCAAUAGCACCGCAAGGGUAACCCUAGGUGUGCGGUCGGACUCUAAACACCGACAACCGGUGCUUCCUUCCCCAAACCCAAUAGCCUUAGGUGCACGGGGAGACAAGGCGAAACCAACCGAAGAGUCCUUAUCGGCGAGGGAGAUGCCAAUGCAGCGGUCCACUGCGAGCAGCGACUCCAUGACAGAUGCGACCGACGACGAGCAAUUCCACCGUCACCGAUUACGAAUCCUUUCCAGCAAUGCGUCGUUGUGCACCGCAAUCCUUUGUGAAGCCCCAAGGAACUUUCCAAAGCCAGGAAGAUGGUGUGGUGCGUAGUCGUCGGCCGUGUUAUCCUUUCUCCUCUCCCCUGCUUCACAGCGACAAAGAAGUUGAGGAAAGGAUGAGAAAGAGGUAUUCAAGGACCUGUUUGAGAUGAAACAGAGAAGUUGGGGAAAGGAUGAAAAUAGGUAAGAAUAUGUGACUUAGUCAAUUGGAUCACACUCUGAUUAUGUUUAUCUAAAUCAAAAGAUGAUGCCCAAAGAGGUCCAAGUUGAUUGGAAGAACGAUAAGAAAAAGGACUUAAAAUCAGCAGUCUAGGUGUACAGGACCAUCUACAGGACUCGGUCGUGUGUGCACUGGACAUGCUACAAUACAUCAAUAGCGAACUGGUUGUCUCGGGAUUUUUCCGUCUACAAUACUCGGUCCUAUGCACCAGACCCUCUAUAUAACUCGGUCAUGUGUGGACCGGACCUGCAACAGGACUCGAUCAUGUGCACCGGACCUGCUAUAGGAACCAGUAGACCAACGGCUACUUCGGGCGUGCAACGGCUACUUCAACAGUCGAAAGAGGUACGGUGUGCACCAGACCGGUUUGGUGCCAUCCAAAAGAGAAAAGGGCCAAUCUAUAUCAUGGAGGACUGACGACCAUUAUGGGUCCCGGUGGCGCACCGGACCGCUCUGGUGCGCCCGAGAGUCAGUUUUUGAGGAAGUUUCCAACGGCUAUUUGAGGCUUGGGGCUAUAUAAAGGUCCCCUCCACGACACUAAGGGGCACACCAAGGCACAUACAAGUGUAGUAUCAUUAUGCAACUAUUCUCUACCUCUCUCUUUGUCUAUUUCUCUCUAGAUCAGGUGUUGGCGCAGUUAUAGUCUAAAAGACAGAGGGAAGGUGCUGCUGCGAGAUAGAACGGCUGAUUGCGAGCUUGAGCAAGAAUUUGGCGGUUCUAUUAUACUGCAACAUCGACCAGAUAUAAGGGAAGACUUUGUCUGUCACCUGGUGACAGAUCUGAGCAAACGGAGGAAAUAGUUGAAAUAGACUCUAAACUAAUUUGACAAACUCCAAUGUGGAUGUGGGCAAGCAUUUCAGGCUUAGCCGAACCACGCGAUAAAUCGCUUGUCUCCUUGUCUCUUGCUCUGUUUGCUUUCUAUUUGUACUUCUCUACUUAUCUCUGGUAUAAGCUGUUUGUGAAGUGCAGGUUCUGUUUUGAUAAAAGGACUAUAAUUCCGCUGCGAUCUACUCGACUUGACUAUUCGGCUGCAAAUCAUACUUCGAGUAGAGUAAGAAGUUUGAAGCUUUCGGUGUUAAAUUUUAUUCGCCUAUUCACCCCUCCUCUAGACGACAUCCAGAUCCAUGUUCCCAGUCGAAGGGAACUUUCAAUUAAAAAUAACCAACAUUAUAUUAACUAAAAAUAUAUAAAAGGAAAACUGAUGUUGCACUGAUAUAGCUCUAGGCUAAGGUUAAAAGUUAGAAGCUGAAUCGAUAGCUGAUGUUAGAUAACAUGGUGUGUGUUUGGUUGGGAUUCUGGGCGGCUUCUGGCCGCCAGAAGCUGAAGCCGCGGCCAAACACCUAGCUUCUGGCCAGCUUCUGGCGGUCGCGCUUCUCACAGAAGCCGCACGCCUUCAGGAAACCCAAAAGCCGCCCGAGCGACGCUUCCGCUGCAAGCCGGCCUUACUCGCGAGGGUUUCCACAACCGCCGCCCGAGCGACGCGUCGUCUCCGCGCCUCAACUCUCCGUCGGCUGUCGCCUCCUCCUCCGCCGCAUCGGGUCGGGGACCUCGACCACACUCCCUUCCGCGGUAUUCGCUUCUCAGGUAUUCCUCCAUUCCGUUCCAUCUCCGCUCGUCCCUGGCUGCCUCCUAUCGCAAACCUCCCUGACCGUUGACGUCGCUAGGGUUUGGGCCGCGCCGCCGCCAGUUCGUCCACAAGGUUGGAGUCGUCCCGUUUCCGAACUCCUCGUAAUCGCAGGUACAUUAAUCGUCUCGUCCCCUAAGCGCUGUUACGGAUCCGAUAUUCCCCAUGUACUACUUAGGGUUUAGGGUAUACGGAUCUGGUAAUCCCCAUGAACUGAUUAGGGUCUAGGUUGCAUGAAAACUUGGCCGUGCAAUGAGGCAAAUUUGUGAACUGCUUAGUAACGAAUAUCAUCUGAUAUUUGAUGUUCAGAUCUUGUGGAGUUCGGUGUUUGUCUCUGUUGCAUCACAAUCUCCUCUCCUACGAAGGUGAUGUUCACAUCAAUUUUUCCAUCCCUCUUACUGCUUUACAAUUUUAAGAUUGUUGUGUAUGUUUUCCAAGAUCCAGUUGCAAAUAUGUUCACGGUGUCUGGUAAAUCCGUUCAUACUGUCUUCGUAUUGUUAUUAGUGCAUAGGAGACUAGUAAUUAGUCGUAGUUGUACCCUCCUUUGUCACCAGCCUAGGCAGUGGACAUGUAAGUACGCCUAAUUUGUGUAGAUAGUCCCCAUGUCUGGUAUACUAACGACCUAAUAAAUCCACAUCAGAUGGAUUCAGCAGACUCCAUAGCCGACAAGGCAAUUGGACGGAUGCAAGAGAUUUCGGACAAGACAUUUUCCGUAGCGAGGGAAACAAUCCGUCCUGGACGCGGGUUGACCUCAUUUGAUGCUACCAAACUUCGUGUAGCUUUGGAGGAGAUAGCUUGCAUGCUGGAGCAAGACUCUCUGGUGUUGCAAGAGCAUUUGGACAUCGUGAACAACGUAAACAUCCCGGUUGACAGCAGCUAUGAACCUUCUACCUUGUCGUCACCACCCCCAUCUAACGACGACCUUACUCCACAUUGGGACUUUGCGGAGCAUUUCCAAAACUUCUGGGGUGUUGAAUAUGACUCCGAUCAGAUGCCUUCGUUUAGUGACAAUGAUGUUUAAGGUAGAAGGGAGUGAACCUUGGAGUUAGGUGUUUGAAUAACAGGGAUGAAGUCCCUUAGCUUUUGUGUACUAAGGGCGUAGGGAAACAGGGAAUCAGUUUGUUCUUUUGGUUAAUGGGCUGCUGUAAAUGUGUUCCCUGUCAUUUUGUGUCCAGUACCAGUUUAUUUAAGGUUCUCGUUGUGUAAUUAAGCAAAUUGGAAUCUUAGUACUUAUGGUAUUAUCUGAACAUAAUAUGGCCAGUAUAUUCUUCAUCUUUUUUGUUGUUUUUAAUCCGAGACCACUACUACGUAUGUUGAAAACUAUAUACUUGUUAUGCACUAGAUGGACAAGUCCGGCAAAGUGAUUGCAAAGUGGGAUAGUAGAGCAACAAAAAUUUACACAGAAAUUUGUGUAGAAGAGGUCAAUGCUCGGAACAGGCCACAACAAUUUCUAAAUGUAGAAGGGUAUGCUAACCUCAUAAGGAAGUUUAAGGAACGCACUGGUCGCACUUACACCAGGGAUCAAAUGAAGAAUAGGUGGGAUUCGUUGAAGAGAAUGUUCACCCAGUGGAAAACUCUUAAUGAAAGGGCUACAGGUCUUGGUCGAGACCCUCAUACUGGUUCAAUCAGUGCGCCAGAUGAGUGGUGGGCCAAGCAAAAUGAAGUAAGUUCAUCUUUUUUUUCGUAGACUAACAUUAGUAUUGGCCAUCUAAAAGUAGGACUACGAAUUGGUGCAGGCAAUGCCAGGUUGUAUUAUGUUCAAAACAGCCCCCCUAGAGAAUGAGGACGAGCUAAAGGUUAUGUUUGGACCCAUUGUCUGCACAAAUGAAAGAACCCUGGUUCCUGGCGUCGAGGAUGCUAAUUCAUCUUCUGAUGAUCAUUUGGAAUACACUUUAGGUGGGGGUGAAAACAGCACACCUGACCCCUGCACAAAUGCUACUGGGAAGCGUAAGAUGCGCCAUGAUUCCCCAAAACCAAAGAAGAAAAAAGAUUCGAGGGAAGAGUACAUGAAAAGACUUGUGGAGGCUUUUGAGUCCCGCUCAUUGACCACAAACAAGUCCAUUACCUCUUCUGACAAUGACCCAGUUCGAAUAGAGCUUAAAAAGCAGAUGCAACAAGUCAAGAAAGAUGGAUCACCAGAAGGGAGCGAACUACAUUUGUUUGCGACUCAUCUUCUGAUUCAGAAGAAGUAUAGAGAUGUUUUUGCAACCUUGGAGACAAAAGAAGGAAGAAUCGCUUGGCUUCGCAAUGCUUACGCGUUAGAAACUAAAAAGAGCACUUAGCUGGUGGACGUCCGACAACAGAGGCCUACAUGUUUAUUAUUAUCGUUGGUUAUGUGUUUUCAUCAGUCAUGUCGUUUCAGUAUAUGUUGCUGGUCCGACAACUGAGGCUUAUAUGUUCAGUAUUAUGUUAGUUGUGUCUGCUUAAUGAGUCAUGUCGUGUCAGUUUUCAUACGUAUCAUUUUCGCUUUCAAACAAUUUUCCAAAUAUUCGAGUUGAACAUGUAUUAGAAUAAUCAGAGUUGUAACUUUGUGAGCUAUGUGAAUCUGUGAACUUCAUAUGCCUGUAAACUGUUCGGCUUCUUUAAUAUGUGUUUUAUAAACUGUGGUUGCAUAUGAAAUUGUGGCUCUUGCUUGUGUCCAUGCAGAUGUGUGAUCCUUAUGAACACACAUAUGAUGAUGAAAUGGAUGCACACACAUCUGAUGAUGAAAUGGAUGCACACACAUCUCAUGAUGAAACAGAUGGAGAAAUGCUUGUUGCUCUAUAUGCUGUAGACAUUUGGGGCAGGCAUUUCAGUCAGGCUCCUAGAAGAACAUUGGUCGAAUCUGGUAUUCAAUGGGUUCAAAGAACGUUGGAGAUUAGUAACGACUGUUUUGACAUGUUUCGCAUGCGAAGAACUGUUUUUAGACGAUUGCAUGACACGUUGGUACAAAAUUAUGGUCUGCUUCCAAGCAGGGGUGUCAGUACUAUGGAAGCUCUUGGCAUAUUCUUGUGGGCAUGUGGGGGUCCACAAUCGUUUAGGCAGAUCAGAAAUAAAUUUGGUCACUCAUUGGAAACAAUUAGCCGCAAGUAUAGUGAUGUCCUUAAUGCACUUUAUAAGAUGUCAUCUGACAUAAUCAAGCCGAAAGACCCACAAUUCGUCGAGAUUCAUCAUCGUUUGCGAGAGGCGAGGUUUUGGCCACACUUCAAGGAUUGCAUAGGCGCAAUAGAUGGUAGUCACUUUCCAGUGGCAGUCCCGGCUUCGGAACAAGCGAAAUAUAUUGGCCGACACGGUUACACGUCGCAGAAUGUAAUGGCCGUAUGUGACUUCGAUAUGAGGUUCACAUUUGUGGUGACAGGCUGGCCAGGUUCCGUACAUGACACAAGAGUACUACAGGAUACUUUAAUAACUUAUGCGGACAGGUUCCCCCAUCCACCGGAAGGUAUACAAAUAUUUUGUACAUUUGUAGAAUACAGUACUAUUUUAUGUCACAUGUACGUAACAUUUGUAUUUUGAGUUUGUGCAGGUAAAUACUAUCUUGUCGAUUCGGGUUAUCCAAAUAGAAAGGGGUACCUUGCACCUUAUAAGGGGCAGAAGUACCACAUUACGGAAUGGCAAAAUGCGAGGCAACCUAUUGGGAGUAAAGAAGUAUUCAACUAUGCGCACUCAUCCCUACGAAAUGUUAUUGAGCGAUCAUUUGGGGUGCUAAAAAUGAAGUGGAGAAUUCUAUUAAGUCUCCCUUCAUUUUCGCUUGAGAAACAAUCGAAGAUAAUUAUUGCAUGUAUGACACUGCAUAACUUCAUUAGAGAUAGUGCUCUACACGAUAGAGAUUUUGAUGAAGUAGGACCUAAUAGCCUAAGUCAUGAUCUACCUGCAGGUGAGAGUAGUACUAGCACAUCUGAUGAGUUAGACAUGAGUGAUUUUCGAGAUGCAAUUGCAAAUGCAUUAGUGGCGUAGUUGACUUAGUGCAAUUGUAACGGUACUUAUGAUGUAAUCAACUCCACUAAUUAUUUUGUAAUGAACUUUAUCUGUGUUAUGGGUUUCAUUUUAUCGUUUGUUCGAACAGAAUCUGCAAUUUGAGAAUUUGUAUCCAAACACGUAGAUUCUGACGAACAGCUUUUCUGCACAGCUGGCGAACCAAACACCUAAAUUCUAACCACCAGCUUUUCCCAACAGCCAGCUUUUCCCCACAGCCAGCUUUUCAGAUAAGCUGGCCAGAAAAAAGCCGAACCAAACACGCCCAUGACAACCAGACUUGCCUACCUUAAAGCAUCUGGCUCAAAGUACGCCACUUACCGAACCGAACCAAAUCAAACCAGUAGAAAACCAUUAGGGCGUAUUUGACAACAAUAUUUUCAAAAUCAUUGUUUUACAAUAUUAUACUACCUCCGUUCACAAAUAUAUGAUAUCGUUGACUUUUUUGAAAACUUUGAUCACCCAUCUUAUUCAAAAUAUUUAUUCAAAAAUAUAAAAUUUUAAGUUAAGCAGAAACUACCUUAAGUGAUAAAACAAAUCACAAAAAAAUUGAUGAUAACUCAUUAUUUUUUGAAUAAAACGAGUGGUCAAAGUUUUUUUAAAAGUCAACGGUGUUAUAUAUUUAUGAACGAAGGGGGUACUUUACAGUUAUCAUGAUAAUAUAAUAGUUUUGGUCAGCUCAGAAAAUACAAUGAUUUUGAGAAACAUUGUUUAGAUACAACAUUGUAAACCAUGGUAUUUAGACAAAAGCUAGCCAUGCCAUAAAAUUUUUGGAUUUGAGUGGAGUUUUUAAUAUAAAAAAUACAAUGAUAUGUAGAAUAUCAUGGUUUUGAAAACAUAUUUUUUAGAAAUGUAACCAAACACUUUAUAGCAUAAAAUACGCUGAUAUUCCUAUAAACUAUGAUAUUAACUACAAACUAUAAAAAAUACUUUGCUUACAAAUAGUUACUUAUAGCAACUUAAAGGGAUUAAGCCAAAUCUACUGUUUUACUACUCUCAAAUAGAUUUAGCAAAAAAAAGACUAGUCCAACAGACUUUAUAAAUUCAUAACUCUAUAUGAAGUGUGAAGUGGACUAUCUAAAAAUUGAGAGCAAAUGUGUAGUAAUAAAGAACUACUCCCUCCAUUCCAAAAUAUAAUUCGUUUUAAACUAAUUAAAUAUUCAUUAAGUAACAUAUGAAUGCAAUAUGAAUGUGGUUUGCAUGUAUGUCUAUGUUCAUUGUCAUUUGACUCAUUGUGGACAAAAAAAAAUGUGAGCUAAAAAGAACAUUUUAAGGACAUGAAACUCAUGUGCCCUAACAAUAUAGAACUUUAUUGUGCAAUUUCAUUACUAUGGAUCCACUUCACAAGUAAUCCACACAUCAUACUUGGAUAAAACUUCCUUGAGUUUGUCAUCUGUACAUGUAUGUCCCAAAUUUGCAAUAAAGAUAUUAAAGCAAGGUGGUAUAUCAUUUGAAGACUUAUCGCGUCUAUCCUACACCAAACAUACCAUACUAUCAAGCUCUAUAUAUGUCGAGCAAGCUUUAAAUAAGAAACAUCGGAUGACAAAACUUUUUGAAUUUCAGUAUAUCUUAUCAUAACAUGUUCACUGCGUAGUACAUUCAUCUAGUAAAUUAUUAAGGGACGAAGACAGCAACGACUACAAAUAAAAUGAGCCACCCAGACACGGCUGCCACUGCUCUCAGACUCCACCCGAUAUUCCUCCACUUCGAUCAGCAGCUGCCCGCACGCGCGCUGAUGGGGAAGCCGGCCGAGUCGUCGUCGACGUCGUGGUCUGCGCUGUUCGGUUUCGGUUGCUUCAGCUCUUCCCAUGCCGACCGCUCUGGUGACGGCCCGGGCAAGGUGGCCUCCGCCGGUUCCAGGCCUCCCGCGCCACCAGCACCGCUGCUUUCGCCGGAUGACCUAUCACUGUCGCUGGCGGGAUCUGACGUGCUGGCUUUCACGGUGGAGGAGCUCCGGGUGGCGACGCGGGACUUCUCGAUGAGCAACUUCGUCGGCGAGGGCGGGUUCGGGCCCGUGUACAAGGGCCGCGUCGACGAGCGGGUCAGGCCCGGCUUGCGGCAGCCGCAGGCCGUCGCCGUCAAGCUGCUCGACCUCGAGGGCUCCCAGGGCCACAAGGAGUGGCUGGUAAGCAAGUUUCUGAAUCACGCGAACAAUCUGAUUCGGGUUGGUUUCGCAGAUUUGAAAGAGAAUAGCCAGCCAUUGAUCCAUUUUAUUCCGAAUUCAUUUUCGUUGCAAUUUAAUUUCUACUGCCAUUUUAGUCCUUUUAUUAUUUAACAAACGAAUUGAGCCCGCCCCAGUCUAAAGUCCGAAGAAAACAGUAGCAUCGCCAUCUGUAGCUGAGCUGUGAUCACUUUCGGAAGCCGACAUGUCUUCUCCCCUCUCCCUUGAGACACAAUUUCAUUUCGGGAUUAAUUCUUUGUUUGGUGCCCUGGAGGGAGCUGUAUGCAGUACGUCAACUUGUCAACCACCCAACCAACUGCAGCACUGCUUAUUCGGUCAAACAAUUGUACCAAGUGUUGGUGGUCAAAAUAUUCCUUAAACAAUACUGUACUGUACUAAGGAAACGCUGCCUGUGUUGACCUGCAACUACUUGUGAUUAUUCACUUAUUUGUUCGUUUGUUUUUGCUGGUACAGGCUGAGGUCAUUUUCCUUGGGCAGCUGAGGCAUCCGCACCUUGUCAAGCUCAUCGGCUACUGCUACCAGGACGAGCACAGGCUUCUCGUGUACGAGUUCAUGGCCAGGGGCAGCUUGGAGAAGCAUCUCUUCAAAAGUAGGGCAGGUUCUAAUAGUUUAGGGUAAAAGGCAAAGCCAACAACGUACGUUCCUAACGAUCGAUGAUCUCUUCGUGGAAACGAACAGGGCACUCUGCUUCCCUUCCGUGGUCAACGCGAAUGAGGAUCGCCAUUGGAGCCGCCAAAGGUUUGGCUUUCCUCCACGACGCUGCCAAACCCGUCAUCUACCGCGACUUCAAGACGUCCAACAUCCUGCUGGACUCGGUAAAAUAAUGAGACCAGGCUGCGCGCGCAUUCGCUCCAUGCGGCUUUCCCUGACUCGCGCCUUCAUUCAGGACUACACGGCGAAGCUGUCGGAUUUCGGGCUAGCGAAGGCUGGACCUGGAGAAGACGAGACCCACGUGUCGACCCGAGUCAUGGGCACGCAGGGCUACGCCGCACCCGAGUACAUCAUGACAGGUAUGUACUUAGGCAAAAAAUAUUAUGGAACAUGCAUGCGCGCACUCAGCAGUGACGAUCUACUGUUAAUUUUUUCUGCGUUAAAAUUAGCAGGGCAUCUAACGACCAAGAGCGACGUGUACAGCUUCGGCGUCGUGCUCCUGGAGCUGCUAACGGGGCGGAAGGCGUUGGACAAGAACCGGCCGCCGCGAGAGCAGAGCCUGGUGGAAUGGGCGCGGCCAUGCCUGCGCGACGCUCGCCGGCUGGAGCGCGUCAUGGACCGGAGGCUGCCGCGCCCCACCACGCCCACCCGAGCAGCCCAAAAGGCCGCCGGGAUAGCCCACCAGUGCCUCAGUGUCAGCCCCAAAUCCCGGCCCCAAAUGUCCCACGUUGUACAGGCCCUGGAGUCGCUGCUUGCUCUAGACGAUGCCGCCGUGGAGCCGUUUGUGUACACGGCGCCGCCGGAGAGCAGAUGACCUGUGUCAUCUUGUGUAAAAAGCAAGCGCCGGUGAGUCAACAAUCCGAAGGUGUUUUGCCCACAGUAGUCCACUAUAUAUAUAUUUUCUAUUGUAAAAAACAUUAGUUCACGCGUGAGACGCGUACCUCUGUUUUUCUCGCCCCUGGGAAACUUGGUGGCUGCCUCUAUAUUUACACUGAUCUAAUCUAGGCGACAGAUCACACAUAUUUUUAUGUUUUCUAUUAUAUGCUCAAUCAUAAUAUAUAUUAUUAUAAAAAAUAGGAAAAAAACAAACCAGUAUGAUCAGGUCUAGCUCGUCGUGUCACACCUAAGAGCAUAUGUAUAACCUAGAGACUCUGAUUUAGUUUUCUAAUUAUAAGAGGCAACUAAGAGACUAUAUGAUAUAACCCUAAACUUCUAAAUCAUAAAUACGGUCAGCACACAAUAUGUAUAGAGAGUCAUAUAAAGAUGAAUUCUUCUUGAUUAUUUUUCACUUAACUUUCUAGAGUCUCUUUUAAGAGACAUCUCAUUUAAUUGGAUUGUACCUACCCUAUGGCUUAUGAAAGGCACGGUGAUUGGGUCCAGCUAACAUGGCCAUGCUAGGGUCGGACUAAAUCGUGUCAGACCAUAGGUCGUCAUGUAAAUGUUUGGAACGUAUUUAAAUAACUAUUUCAUUAAAUUAAAGUCUAUUUAUAUGAUAUAUAGAAACUAUAGUAAUAUACAAAUAUCUAAGUAGUAUAAAAAUUUAUGUGAGCUAUGCACGUGCGCCGCCUCCGGUACUCUGUCGGCAUCGUGGACUGACUAUAUGUCAAAAAAAAUCUCAGAACAGGUCGAUUCCAAUAUAUACCCUAUACCAUACAAUGCGCUUCAUCGAUGAUAUUCUCUCAAUGGUACCCGUUCAAUGUUCGUGCGACUUGGAUACCGCUUGUUAUCUUGUAGGAGGAAAAAUGUGAUUGUUGGUGGUCGGAAGGAAUUUUUUUUUGAAGUAAAGGUACUGUAGGAAGGACCUACAGUAAUAUUAUUAAAUCAAAAGAACUGAGUUUAGGGAGAAAGAGGCAAAUUACAAAGAAAAGGAAGGAAGAGGGAGCAGAGGGGGGAAGAGUUACAGCCCUAAGUUGAGCAACCAAGAUGCAAUAUCUUCCUUAAGAAUAGGCUUAACUCGAUGGCAUAAUAAGGCAAUUUCACUCCUAAACAUAGCCUUGCACUCAGAAACCGAAGGGGGAAUUUCGUUGAAGAUCCAAUUGUUUCUGCACCUCCAGAUGCACCACGUCAUGAUGAUAAUAGCUUCUAACCUCCAAGGAACUUGCAAGCGUCUUCUAAUUCUCAUUAAGGUAUGCAGAAGAUCCGUAGAACACGGCGGGAGGAAGCCCAAAAGUAGCCAACAUCUCCUAGCAAAGUUGCAUCUGAAGAAAAGAUGAAUAGACGUUUCUUCAAUCUGGAGAAUACAGUUGUCGCAGGUGUAUGAGUCUAAAGGCAUUGAACGUCGUCUGAGAAGGGAGCGGGUAUUCAAUCUAUUUUUGAGCAAUAACCAGAAGAAUACUUUGUGCUUAGGUUGACAUUUAGAUUUCCAUAACCAAAAGAAGAGAGGGAGCGAUUGAUGGGUGCCAAUCAAGUGAGCAUAGACCUUCUGAGAAGAAAACCGAUUGAAAGAGGCACUGCAUCGCCAAAUAUCAUUGUGAUCAAGCAACUGUAGAUUACCAAGGGUGUUCUGAAGUGAGAGAAGCUGCUCGAACGCUUCAGCAGAGAGGGGGGUAUGGAACAGUUCAUUCGGGGAAGCCAACCGAGCUUGACUAAUGUUAAUCUCCUUGACAGAGGCAAAAGACCAAAGCUCCAGGAACUUUUCAGAUAAUCGUUGUCCAUUCCAUCGAUCAUGCCAAAGGAGAGUAGAUUUACCAUUUCCAAUCUCCACUUGGGCAAUUUCCUUAAAAGAAUCUUGGAUUUUGAGAAUAUCUUUCCACCAAAACGAGCCAACUGGUUUAGUUGAGGGCAGAGAGUUGUUGUAAUGAGUGUCCCAGAUAAUGUUAACCCAUGGGAUGUUGACUCUAUUAAAGAAUUUAUGAAGGCAUUUCAUAAGGAGCGCUUUAUUCUGCCACUCAAGGUUGAUGACUCCAAGUCCCCCUGGGUUUUUGGCCUGCAAACUGAUUUCCAAGCAACUUGAGGAGGUUUUUUUGCAUUUAUGUCUGCCCCUCUCCAGAGACAAUGCCGUCGAAGUUUGUCAAUCUGUUUGAUCACAGAUUUUGGGAGCUUCGGGGUGCACAUGUAAUAGGUUGGAAGUGAAGAAAAUACCGCGUUGACCAUUUGUAAUCUGCCAGCCUAAGAUAGGAAAAUAGAAGUUGAAGCUAGUCUUCUUUCAAUCUUCUGAAUGAGGGGAAUGAAGGCUUCCAAAUUGGGUUUUUUAAGCCCCAAAGGAAGCCCAAGAUACGUGAAGGGCAAAGCCCCAACCUUGCAGUGAAAUGUAUUUGCUAGCAUUGCCAUUUUCUGCUCUGAAACAUUGAUGGGAUAAAUAUUAGAUUUGUUAUAAUUCACAUGGAGCCCUGUAGAAUCAGCAAAUGAAUUAAGCAUUGCUUUAAGAAAGAAGAGUUGUCUAGGGCACGCUUCCAGAAUCAGAAUUGUAUCAUCUGCGUAUUGGAUAAUCGGGAAGUCGGAUCCACAGGAAAGCGGGAUCGGGAGCUUGAGGAUGCCACAAUCCUUGGCCUUGUUAAUAAUUGACUGAAGUAGAUCAGCAGCUAAGACAAAGAGAAGGGGGGACAGGGGAUCCCCCUGCCGAAUCCCACGCCUGCAAUGAAAACGUCUGCCCGGGACCCCAUUCAAAAGAACUUGUGACAUGCCAGAGCCAAGAAUCAAAGAGAUCCAGUGAAGCCAUCUGUCCCCAAAGCCCUUAUGCCUCAAAAUAUCAAUGAUAGCAGCAUGCUCUAGUUUGUCAAAAGCCUUUUCAAAGUCCAAUUUUAGGAUAACCAUUUCUUUACCCGAUUUGUGACAAAUAGAGAUGUAUUCAAAGGCCCAUGCUAGACAAUCCUGAAUUGUCCGUGCCUUGAGGAAGACAUAUUGAUUCUGGUAGAUUAGAUUAGUAAUAACCAGUUGUAGUCUAUUGGCAAGAAGUUUAGUCAGGAUUUUCAUGCUUGUAUUGAGGAGAGAUAUCGGUCUAUAGUCCCCCAUUGAAGUAGGCGAACUAAGCUUGGGGAUGAGAGUCACAAAAGAACCAUUGAUGCUUUCUAAGCAGAUUGAUCCCUCAUAAAAUUUAUCACAAAGCUCAUAGAAGUUGGAAGCAAUUACCGGCCAGCAUUUUCUCACAAAUUCUAUGUUAAAACCAUCAGGGCCUGGGGACUUAUUGGUAGGAAGAUUUCUGAUGAUCUGGUCUAUCUCACUAUGCGAGAAUGGCAAAUCCAGUGUUGACAGGUUAUUAGCAGGUUGAAUCAAUUCAGAUAGGUUGAAAACCAUAGUUGUUGGCUGGGAGGUCCCUAAUCGAUCUUUGAAGGCUUGGAACAGAACCUCUUCUUUAUCCUUAUGAGAGAAAGCCACCAUGCCAUUAUCACAAGACAGAGACAAGAUACUGUUGUGUCGAUGCUUGGAAGUGGCAUUAGCAUGAAAGAAUUUUGUGCCAGCAUCCCCCAACGUGGCCCAUUUGAUUUGGCCUCUCUGCUUCCAGUAGGUACGCUGAUUGGAAAGAAGACCCUGCAGGUGGUGAACUAGAGCAUUCUUAAAGUUCCAUUCUUGAAUUGUUAGAUCUCUGCUUUCCUCAAUAAAAUCCAUCAAUUGAAUGAUCAAUUCCGUCUUAACAAUCAACUUAGCUAGAUUGGGUAAAGAUUUCUGCCACCCAUGGAUCACCUUUCUUGCUCUUUUAAAUUUGGCCAUAAGCCGUUUUGCAGGAUCAGGCUGGAAUAGAUCGUGCUCCCAAGAGGCUUGGAAUCUGGAAUGGAAGUCCUCAAGCUGAAGCCAAUAGUUUUCAAAUCUGAAAAUGGGCAGUUUAGGAACGUUAGAUUGAAUGUUGACCACCUAGAGAACAUGAUCUGUGGUGCUCCUGGCCUGGGAAGAGGCAGAAGUGGCUGGGAAGUUGGAAGACCAGGCAGGCGAGACAAAGCACCAGUCCCGCUUUUCAAGCAGAGGAUGACGCUGCAUAUUAGACCAAGUGAAUGCUUGCCCUCUGAGAGGAAUUUCUUGUAAACCCAGCUGACUGAUUGCCGCAUUGAAAUUGAGCAUUCUAAUAGGGUCACCACCCUGCUUGUUACGAUUUUCAGGAUACCUAAUCAUGUUGAAAUCACCAAGGAAAAUCCAAAGCUUGUCUUCAUCAAUUUCAAGGUUAGAGAACCAGGCAAGAAAAGCUUCUCUACCAUGAGGAGAACAAGGGGCAUAGAUGUUGGAGAGCCACCAGACUUGCCCAUUUAGAUUGGAUUGGAAACGAAUAGUGUGCCCAAACGAAUUCUGUUCAACUACCUCAGCCUCAAAGAGGGAGCUUUUCCAGAUAGUGAUGAAUCCUCCAGAAGCUCCAAUAGAAGGGCCGAGAGCAAAUUUAUCUAAAUAGCGGUUGCAGAAGAGACAAAUAUAUGAGUCAUCGAAGGAUUCCUUUUUUGUUUCCUGAAUACAAACAAUGUCACAAUUGGAUUCCAAAAUAUUAUUCCGCAAAGAGUUCCACUUGAUGUCAGAGUUAAUGCCUCUGAUGUUGUGAGACAAAAUUUUCAGUGACCGAUGAGAACUCUGAAAAAGAUUAUCCAUUGAAAACCAGAAAUAUUUCACUCAAGAGUUCGAGUACGCCAAACAUACAUCGACAGGGGUCCAAGCAUACAAUAUAAAGAAGGUAGGUCGAUUCAGAGAUUCCAAAAAAAGUGGGGCAAUGCGUGCCAGUACCACCCCCGAAAUCCAGACAUAAGAAAAGCCGAAAAGGCUUAAAUAAACCCCAUGUUAUCUUUGAUCCCAGAAAAUUCGAUCCAUUCACCCAUAAGACAUAAAUUGGUGAAAAGUUUGAUGCGUUCCCCACAGCGGCCACGACAGGCCCAAUAACAUAAAGAGUAGUUUUGUUGCGGUACAUAAUUAAACCAAAAGAUGUCAAGAACUGCGGCACCUCAGCCCCAAGCUGAGACAGAAGAGACGGUGACGCAUUACAGCCCCGCCGAGGGAUGAGACUCCGCGUCAUCAUCCAUAUCAGAAGCCUCCCUUUGGUCUUCGGACAGAGAACUCGGCUCAUUCCUGGAGCAAGACGAGGAACGAGGCCUCUGAAUGGCAGCACUGGAGGACCUGGAGUUAUUUAAGGUAUCAAGGUUCAGCUUGUGGGGGUCAACAUUGUAGAAGUCAGCGCCCAACUUCUUGAUAGUCCUGUGGGAGAGAGAUGGCGGUGGGGAUGACCCAGCACAGCACAAGCAGUUAUUUUUUAUUCCAAAACAAGACUUAAAGCCUUUGGUCUUUUCUCUGAGCCUUGCACUCCUUCUCACUUCAGUGUCAACCAAGGAUGCACGUUUCUUUUUGUUAACUGCUUCAGAAGUCACAGUGGACUGAGCAUCCACAAGCGGAUCCUGGUUAGGGGGAAGCAAGCAUUUGGGGGGGAUCUUAAUAGGCAUAGUUUCCAUGUUGGGUUCCAUGAAAGCAGAAAGAGCCCCCGACAACAGAAAUUUUUUGGCCCACUCAAAAGAGUCCGGCCUCAUAAGUAGGCCCAUAAAGAAAGCUGCCCAAAGUUUUGGAACGGGGAUGAGGUAUGUAUUGGGGGGCAAAGUUCAGCCCAGGAGGAGAAACGUUUUCUGGCCAUGAAAUCUUCGUAGGCAGGGUCCUGAGAGGGCUGAUCCAGAUGAGUCAUGCAGCCCACAAUGAUGUUUUCAUCAGCAUUCAGAUUCAAAUUUUCCUCGCCCUGGUCGUUAUUUCCCUCCAAAAACGGGUCCGCUGGGGGGAGGGCUGGUAGAGCAAGCACAACAACUUCUUGAUCUUGGACUUCUUCCUGAGGGAAGUGGACUGCUUGCGGGAUAACGAUAUUGUUAAAAAGACCCAUUGGUUCAUCUGAAGGCAAGUCCUCAAGGACGGAAAGCUGAUAACUAAAUUGUUCCUCCUCAUUGAUGGCAAUUGGCACUGGUGCAGGUGGUUGCUCUUGCUGGACCUGUUCAACCGGCCAAGGGUCCCAACCAUCAUCAGCAAUGUUGUCAUUUAUAGCAUCUUCUUCAAUUUCACCAAUGGGAGGGAUGUUGAGGUCAAAUUGGAAGUUGGGCACAGGCUGCCCCAAUCCAAAAAAUUCCACCGGAAGUUGAUGACCAUUAUGAGGAUAUGGAGGCACAACCUCUUCGACCUUAGGCAAGGCACCAAGCAUGAAUUGUUGAACUAUAUCGCACUGAACAGUCCAGGAAACCCCAUGAAAACCUUCAGCUACUGAAAAUACAAUAAACUGGGAACUUCCUGCAGAGAUGUCACCCUUGCUCUAACCACGGCGGCGACUUCAUCGUUGGCAGCGGCAGCGAGUGCGCACACAGGGAGGGCAGCGGGAGCGCGCGCAGGGAGGGCCAUCAACCCUUUCUCUGUUGGUUUCUUGACUGAAGGUGUGGAUUGUGCCUUUGAUCGACCGUUUUAAUUACUUCUGUACCACAAGCUAUGGGUCUGGUAAGAAGAUGCAUCAGAGUGGUAUGGUCGGAAGGAAUUCAAAACGUUGAACAUUCAAUCUUCUUAAGUCCCCGUGUCGAGGAUACUUUUAGAGGGUGUUUGAUUUGAUAAAUCAUUCUAUUCAAGAUGAUAUUCUGCAUCAUAAGUUUAUUUCUCAAAUUUGGUGUGAUCAUCUUAUUUUUCAUGUUAAUACUAACUAAGUAUAAGGAAUGAGGUGGUGAUGGAUCAACUCAUUUCAUUCCACAAUCCAAAUAAAAAAUGAGGAGUGAGAAGAUGAUGGACUAGCUUAUUCUUCAAAUCAAACAUCCUAUUAACUCUUUGUAACACCCUGAAUUUUGGGAUAUAAAUUUUUUCUAAUAUCCACCAAAUUCAGGUGUUACCCUCUCAUUUCGUUGUUUUCCUUCUAUUUUUCUAAAUAAUGGAGAAUUAUUUUGUUUUAUAUUGACGUAAAUCUAGUGGAAUGAGCCAUAGAGAUGCUUUGGUUGGUGCAUUCAUGUCGUUGCAUAGUGUUUCUAAGUGCAAAAGGUCUUUGAAACAUGUUAAUAUACCUUGUGGAAGCCUUCGGUAAAUUGUCAUAUUUUUGAAAUAGUUUUCUAUUUUUUGAAAACUAGAAUCUAUUUAUUUGAGGUACUUAAAAAUAUUUUUAGAAGCUCUAAGUAUAUUUUUGAGUUCAUUAGGUGCCAAAACAUUUCUAGAGAUUUUCUCUGGAAUUUGUGGAAGCACAUACAAUAUUUUGAGCACAAAAUAUGGAUUUCUAGGCUUUUCUGAAUUUAAUAAAUGGUAAAAUCCGAAUUUUAACCGAAUUUUCAUCUCGUUCGAACCCUAUAUAUAUAUAUAUAUAUAUAUAUAUAUAUAUAUAUAUAUAUAUAUAUAUAUAUAUAUGGUCGUCUUCUCCUCGUUGAGCACAUUCCAAAUCACAAAACGAUUUUCUCAGAUUCAUUCCCCAUUUCCCGAAAUUGCUCGCCGAAGUUCGGAGCGGUUCUAACUCCAACGACAACCCCGACGAUCAAUUACUUCCAAUCCAUGCGUCAUCGGCGAAAUCCGAGGGUACCUCUACGUUCAUCUCGUCGAGGGCUUCGUCUCGGUGCAUCUGGUUCGUCGAUCGGACCUCCGAAUCUUCGUCAAUCGACGAAUUCAUCCUUGGCUCCGACGAGAGUCUUCUUCCCUGGUGAGCUCCUCCAUUCAUGAAGUUCACAGGAUGUUUUCCAUGUGUUUAUGUUUUAAAGUUCACAUGAUGUGAAAUGGAUUGGACUUAGGCUCUAAGAAUGCAACACCUCAAAAGAAUACAUAAAAGACCUGCAAAUACUCAGCACAAGCACAAGCACAAGACACAAGAACAAAAGAGCUAAAGAAUAGAAGAUAGAAGAUUCAAGAAGUGGGCAGUCAGCUGAAGCACAGGUGGCGCAUCGGGCCGCAUGCACAGAGAGCUCUGCAAUCGGCUCUUGGGCAGCUAACGCACCAGACCAUUCGGUGGUGCACCGGACCAUGGUCCAACAGCUAGUUGCCAACGAUCAUCUAACGUGGCAGCAUCAGACCAUGCAGUUGACACACCGGAUCGUCUACAGUGCUAUCAGUGCCAACGGCUAGCUGAUGUGGAGAGUCUAGACCAAACGGUCCCGUGUGCACGCAUACAAAAUUCUGCAGCUUUCCACCAACUGCUAUAAUUGAGUGGGGGCUCUAUAUAAACCCCCUAUCUGGCCAUUUGAAGGUGUGGGAGCCUAAGAAACAUACCAAUAUAUGUGAUAAACAUCUCCAAGUGCUUAAACAUCCAAGUGCUUAAUAGAAUCACUUGGUGAUUAACGUAUGUGCUUUGCGAAGUGCUUAGGUUAGUUAGACCGCUUAUGCGCUUGCUCUAGGUUGUUCCUAAUUAGUUGAGUGAGUUGAGAAAAACCCACAAAACCCUUUGGCUCUUGCGCGAGGCUUUGUAAUUGUACCGAGUGGGGCGAGAGUCUUACAGGACCACAUCAACCGUGUUUGUGGUGCGGUCACCAUCGUGUACCCGAGGGAACGAGGCAUGUGAUGAUUCGACAAGAAGCUCUAUAGUGGAGAGGGCGGGGAGCAUCUGAGAGAAGCCAGAAGCGGAGUACUAAUUGUGCAUGGAUAAGGCCCACAACUCUCUACGAAGUUACUCGACCAUGGUGCUUUGCCCCUCGCGUGGGCUACCCUUUGCAUAGGGGCACCAACGAGGAUUAGUUGGGACCUUGCAUGGUUUCGAAUACCUCGGUAAAAAUACCAGCGUCGUCCACGAGAGUUUGCAUCUCUACCUUUGGUUAUUAGCUUCUACCUUUACAUUAAGUACUUAAGUUUGAAUCUCUCUAUUCCUAGUUUAGAAUUCUUAGGAUUGGAACUUAGGUUGCAUAACUCUUUUGCGGUAGAGAUAACAACACUUAGACAAAACCUAGUUUACACAUUCUAGUUUGAUUAUUUGCAUGUGUUUUCAUCUAGGGAUUUAUUUGUGGCCUAGAUUAGUGAUAUUUUUAGAAGUCAUAAUUCACCCCCCCUUAAGCAUCCAUGUUCCUUUCACCAUCCACGCUCCCCUCAUUGACACCUUCAAACCCUUCAAAGGUGAAAUGAGAUAUACUCUACUUUAGUUGUGCUUCCCUAUUGUGGUUCCUUGCAGGAGCUUCUAUAGAUCUCCAAUAUUUAGCGCCCACCUCCAGUGAACCCACAAACAACCACUAUUGUGCCUCCACAAAGGGAAAAGGACGAGGCUGGUGUUGCCAGCUUUACUACCAACCUCAAAGGCUAAGAGUAUGCCAAAGUUGUUGACUAGACCGAAGUUGCGUACCAAAGACAAUAUGAGAGCACAACUUUGAAACACCUAGUUGAGCUAGACAACAUUGAUGACAAGAUUGAAGAUCUCGAAUCCAUCCAAAUGCAGAUUGAGAUUUAGAAACAAAUGAUGCUUCGGGUUGCUUAGUUUCAACAUCAAAUAGAUGACGCUUCUUAAGAGCUUCAUCGCAUAAGAAAGGGAGGUGUUUUUCGGACCUUUGGCUCAAAGCCCUCAAUUGAGUUUUGCAAUUUGAGCUCAUUAUAAAGAAUGAACUAAUCCCAUGAGGGGCUACUAUCGAGGAGAAAGAUUUUGGUUGAUGGUCUACAUCUAAUGAAAAUCAUUGUUGUAGUAUGUUUUCAAGAAGAUACCUUCGAACCAUGUGUUUAAAUCAAAAGCUUCGGUUGGCUCUACAUUAGUGAACGACAAGCUAAAGGAGGAGGAAGAGAUGAAAUUGAACAUUAUUGAUCCACCUUUGGAUGCAAUGACAAGGAGGUUGAGGUUAUGAAGGAGGAGGAAAAGGCAUACACAACGCCUUUUCCCUACGAAUUGACACAAUUGCCUAUCUCCAGUUGUACAGAGUCUUCGUAUAGAGGAAAGUGCAUUCUUCUAAUUCUAAGCUGAGAUGUAUGUAACCUCGACGCUUUAAAUAGACAUACAAUACCACAAUUAUAGUGGUUGAUCACUUGUACGCCUUGAGCGUAUGGCACCUUAGUACGAAAGAGCAUCCGAAGAUCUGCUGACUUCAAGCUCUUAAAUCAGCUUAAGAGACCUUCGAACGUAUAACAUUCUGAAAGUAUUAUAACCCAUCCAAACUGAACACAUGAUCUAUCUACGCAUCUUUCUCUUAUAUACAAUGAAUUUGAUACCGGUUUUUCCAUUCACGCUCCCCUUCUUGACACCUCCAAACCCUUGGAAGGUGAUAGGAGAGAGACUCUACGUUAAUUGUGUUGCGUUAUUGCGGUUCUUUGUAGAAGCUUCGCCACAUCUCUAAUACUUUAUCGAUGAUGCUCCUAGUUAAAUUUUAAUUAGGAAGUUUUAGGUGGCUCUAACUAAACUAAGAAGUGGUGAAUUUAUACUCACAGUUAAAUUUCUUUGCAACGUCGUACCACCUGCAUUCUCGAAUAUUUGUCGUCCACUAGUUAUUUUUAAACUAAAACACGACGAAUAAAAAAGAAUAGAGAGAGUAUGCUGAAGCAGCUCAAGAUAAAAGCCCUGUUUAGCCAUGGUCAGAUUUCGAUAGACUAACUUGGACACUGGAUUAGGAAAUUCCACCCUUUUCCACUCGCUCCAGGACAAGAGGGUACCGAUGAGUAUCGGCGACCCUGCACGAGAAUAGAACCAAUACCAAUAGUUUUGCUUAUUUGAAUUCUUCCAUUAUAUAUCAAAAUAAGAAAUCUAAAUAGAUACGCGAAGUGGUGCCCUUGCUUCUGGAUUCAAAUCCAUAGGGGCAGGCAGGAGAGAAGCGAAAAGAUAGAUAUGUUAAUGUUUCCACCUACUCUCGAGUAUAGCAUAGGGCCGAGUUAAGUAUAAAAUAGGGAUCGUCGUAAGAUCCCGAUGGGCCAUCACAUCCCUUGAUGAGUAGAUCAUUCAUGUCUUACUGGUCAAAGGUAAGUAAGAACCUUUUGAUAUCAGGAAGUGCAAAUAAAUAAUAGGUCAGUCUUGUUGUCUCAAAUAGGAAUUGAGUGCCUGUGGAGAAGAGAUGGGUUGGUUUGAUUGAGGAAAGAAUAGGAAAAAUAAGGAAGAAGGAUAGCAUAUUGACCGUGCUUUGCGAAGUUCGGUGGAAGUCAGCUGGAAUCGUACCGAGCAAGGUUCUAUUAAUUGGUAAACUACUUAGUAGCCAUAGCCAACCCCUUAUUAUAGGCAAACCCUGCUCUUGUAUAUUGAUAAAGAAAGAGAGAGUUUACUGACGACACAUUUGCGUCCAGUGGAAUUGAUCAUCGUUCCCCACGACCAAGACCCAAUUCAAUAUCUUAAUAGGAAGAAUGUCUUGAUCCGCCUCGUAUAUCUAUCAUUUGUGUUGAUCUGGAAUCGAGAUUGGAAUGCCUUGCUCUGCCUAAUCAUGAAUAGUAUAUGCCUCAUCUCGCUAGCCAGAUCUGUACCGUCUUAUCGAUCGAAAGCUAGGGAUACUUAUUUAUUUUCUUGAUGAUUGAAAAGCUAGUUUGAAUUCGUUGAUCUGCCGAUACCGGGCCCCAUUUCACUAGCCAGCGAGCUUGUGUAUUACUUUGCAAAUGAAGUGUAUCUCUUUUAUUUACUUCUGUUGAUGUCUCGAACCGCUUAGCGGUUAGUUUUAGUUAAGGAUAGUACCAGGUAAGGAUUGUUAAGUAACCCUAGUUAGAGUUAUGUGGGCAAAUACCGACUUUGCCCCUGAGGGGUCUCACAUCUCUAUAUAAGUAACAUGUACACCCCUUCAUAAGAGAGAGAAGAGAAAGAUGUCAGAGGCCCAACCUUAUAUCAUGUAUCUCGUGUGUUACUCUGUCGUGCUUCUGGGAAGGGAGACGGGUUCUCUACAGCUUCUCGCGCCUCUACUGCUGACGGGAGGGAAGGGAGCGGAUCUGGUGAUCCGUGGUGACGUAGUUCUCAACACAUUAUCAGCACGCUCUACCUCGACGUUGCUGCGAGAUCAUAUCUGCAUCAACUCUUCGUCAAGCUAGCAGGUCUUUUGGUCUAGCCAAACUGUCCUACGCGACAGUCUUCGAUUCUCUCUCUAUGUAAUCGAGCGGUAUGUUUACUGUUAAUGAUCUGUUGCAUGCGCUACGAUCCAUGUGCGACGAAAUAGCUAUCGCCGUCGUCGUGAUGCACCCGUGCCGGAAGCGCUCGAUAUCGCAGCAGCUAGCCCACGUCAGAAGCCAUGUAGCGCGUCUGUAGCCGCGCCCGUGCUGCGGUCGCGUCGCCGUCAGAGGAGUGCCACGUGUCGUGCGCCAGCAGCCAUGCCCGUGCUGGGGACGAGCGCCCAUCCACAGGCCAUGCCACCUAUGCGAGGGCGGCUAGCCAAGGCCGUGGGGCACCAGCUCGUUACUGUUUCUUGCCGUGCAUCGGCAUCCGCUUGCUCGAGUCCCUCACCGCGCGCAUCAGCUACAACAACACUGAGUUGCUCUAGUGGAUCUUCGGACAGAGGCUCCGCAGCCCGCCUAAGGCCUCCCAAUAAAGGACUGUGGUGCUAGUAACCGCAUAGAGAAGAAUGUGCAUCUAAAUCUAUGCGUGUGUGGCAAGUGGUAUAGAUACGCGGUCACUGAUCCAUUUUUUCAGGCGAUCGAGAGUGUAGUUGAACCGGUACCUUACUUGCACUCUUGUACCCGGUCAAGGCGGUUGGAAAAAAAAUCCUUGGCAAAGGUAACAGAUCGGCACUGUUCUCACUAUGCGGUCAAAUCAUAUAAAAAGGAAGGAAAUGGCCACACGUAUGUUCCUGACCCACUUCGUGUCGUGAAUAAAGGAAGGGGCCCGCUUUUCCUUGAUGUCGCACGUAACAAAAGAAGCAAAUCUGAAGUUAUGCUCGAUCGGCAUAAUCUAGAAAAUAAUAAUUAAAGCAUGUUUUAUGUUAUACUUUUUAUCUUAAUUAAUUAUUUCUUGCAAUAAAUAGUUAAUAAAAAAUAUAUGCUUACAUAUGAAAAAAUAUCUUUUGCACCUGAUGUGUUAUGUUUAUAUAUUAAUUAUUCUGUUUUUCUACUUUUAUUUUCUGUAGUAGAUACUUAGCAGAAAAUUAAAAUACAUAUGAAGGUUGUAUUGUGCAUACUGAAAUCGCUCUAAAUAUUUAUGUUGCGUUGAGCUUUUGGACUCACAUCGAGUGUGAUUAAAUGGUAUUGUGGGUACACAGAUGUGGCGAUCAGGUUACAUUAUUAUUCGACUAAGUUAAGACAUUGGCUAAGCAUUAGUUGCGCCCUGGUAACAUGACGCAGUAUUUGUGUCGUAUGAACUUGGCAGCGUCAUGUGAUUGCUAUGUCGCGCUCUCGCUUAAUCGGAUCGCUCCCGUUGAGUCGGACCGCCAUCACCGAGUCACACAAUUUUCGUGGGCCCUGAAGGCAUUGCAUGUGUGUCGUAACUAUUGAGUCACAGUUGUGCUUGUUGCGCCUGUUGUGCCUGUUGCAUGUACUUAUCGUGUACCCCAACUACCAAGCCACAACUGCAUCUGUUGCGCUGGUUACGAAGGUUUGAUGUGUUGUCGUUGCCCUGAUAGUCGCACAUGUGUUGACGCCAGAUACACUAGAGCUUGUAUUCGCGUGGAUUGUGGUGGGUUGUUCAAGCCCCUAAAGUCACAUUAUGCGCAACCUUCAUAAACAAUUUUGUUUGGUUCUAUAUUUUAUUUGAUUGUGUUGUGUGGCAUUAUAUAUUUAUAUAUCGCCAAGUGGCCAUAACAACUAUAUCAAGCUCUAUAGAGUUUGGAAAUCUAAGAAAUUAAAUAAAAAUACAAUAAAACACAAAUAAGUUAUUUUUUGCUCUCUCUCCUCAUGCAUAAAAGUUUUACCCGAAGUAAACCGAAGAUAUAUAAUGCAUGAAAGCUGAGAGCACCUAGAGGGGGGGUGAAUAGGUGAUCCUGUAAAACUUAAAAACUUAGGCCACAAAAACUUGUUAAGCGUUAGCACAGUUAAUGCCAAGUGGCUAGAGCGAAGAUCUUGCACAAUAUGAUAAUCACAAAGAGUUCAACACAGAGAAGACACAGUGAUUUAUCCCGUGGUUCGGCCAAGUACAAAACUUGCCUACUCCACGUUGUGGCGUCCCAACGGACGAGAGUUGCACUCAACUCCUCUCAAGUGAUCCAAUGAUCAACUUGAAUACCACAGUGUUAUGCUUUUCUUUUCUUAUCGCGUUUGCGAGGAAUCUCCACAACUUGGAGUCUCUCACCCUUACACUUGAAGUUCACAAAGAAGCACGGAGUAAGGGAGAGAAGCAACACACACAAAUCCACAGCAAAAUGCGCACACACACGGCCAAGAAUCGAGCUCAAAAGACUAUCUCAAAGUUCUCACUAAAACGGAGCUCGAAUCACUGAGAAUGACAAACAAUUGCGCAAAGACUGAGUGUGGAUGAUCAAGAAUGCUCUAAGGUUGCUUGUUUUUCCUCCAUGCGCCUAGGGGUCCCUUUUAUAGCCCCAAGGCAGCUAGGAGCCGUUGAGAGCAAAUCUGGAAGGCCAUCCUUGCCUUCUGUCGUCGGGCGCACCGGACAGUCCGGUGCACACCGGACACUGUCCGGUGCCCGAUUUCCUUCCUUAAACAGCGCAGCCGACCGUUGCAGAUCUGGGAGCCGUUGGCGCACCGGACAUGUCCGGUGCCCCUUCCGACCGUUGGCCAGGCCACGUGUCGCGCGCGGAUUCCGCGGCCGACCGUUGGCUCACCGGACAGUCCGGUGAAUUAUAGCCGUACGCCGUCGGCGAAUUCCCGAGAGCGACCACUUCACGCCAAGUCAGCCUGGCGCACCGGACACUGUCCGGUGCACCACCGGACAGUCCGGUGUGCCAGACUGAGCUGAGUCCUGGCUGUACACAGCCAAGUCUUUUUCAUCUCUUUUCUUUUCUUCUUCUUUCUGUUUCUAACACUUAGACAAGUAUAUUAGUACACAAAACCAAUGUACUAAGGCUUAGAAACAUACCUUUACUCUUGAUUUGCACUUUGUUCAUCCAUGAGCAUAGAUUCACAUUUAAGCACUUGUGUUGGCACUCAAUCACCAAAAUACUUAGAAAUGGCCCAAGGGCACAUUUCCCUUUCAAUCUCCCCCUUUUUGGUGAUUUAUGCCAACACAACAUAAAGCAACUAGAACAAGUGCAAAAUCACUUCAAAUAAAACUCAAAUUUAUUUUGAUUCAAUUUUGGCAUAUAUGGAUCAUCCUUUGCCACCACUUGGUUUGUUUUUGCAAGUCAAACUCAAAUCUCUAUCUCUAAGUCAAACACACAUGUUGAAGCAUAAAGAGAGUCAUUCCAAAAGAGAUUUAUCAAAGAUUUCAAAAACUCCCCCUAUUUCCCAUAAUCAACACUUCUCCCCACAAGAAGCCAACUUUUGACAAAAGAGACAAUGAAAGAGUUUUGACAAACCAAAAGCUCUAUUCUACUAUUUUCAAAGUUUCUCAAGUGGUAGCUGAUCCAUCUAUUGCUUUGGCCUUUAUUUUCUCCCCCUUUGGCAUCAAGCACCAAAACGGGAUCAAUCUUGGCCCUAGAACCCCAUUGCCUCACCGAAAUCUUCAAUUAAGAGCAAAUGGCAAUAAGAGUUCAUGAGAUGAACUUGGAAUAAGUUACCCUCUCAUCGGAGUGCAGUGGAAGUCUUUCAUGGUCCAAGUCCACCUUUUCCCUUUCACUUCUCCUUCGAGACUAAAUCAAGCAAACUCAAGCAUAUGGUUAGUCUCAAAGGUUCAAGUUGUAACACAACUCCCCCUAAAUAUGUGCAUCACUUACACAAGGACUUAUGAGGUCCAGGGAGUGUUUGUACAACUUGAGCACCACAAUAAGCAACAAAAUGCAGAAUGAACAUGAUCAAAGGCAUAAACACAUGUAUGCUACAGUUCAAUCCAAGUUCCGCGAAUCUAAGACAUUUAGCUCACUACGCAGCCUGCAAAAGGUCUUCUCAUCUAGAGGCUUGGUAAAGAUAUCGGCUAGCUGGUUCUCGGUGCUAACAUGAAACACUUCGAUAUCUCCCUUUUGCUGGUGGUCUCUCAAAAAGUGAUGCCGGAUGUCUAUGUGCUUUGUGCGGCUGUGCUCAACAGGAUUUUCCGCCAUGCGGAUAGCACUCUCAUUAUCACAUAGGAGUGGGACUUUGCUCAGAUUGUAGCCAAAGUCCCUGAGGGUUUGCCUCAUCCAAAGUAGUUGUGCACAACACUGUCCUGCGGCAACAUACUCGGCCUCAGCGGUGGAUAGGGCAACGGAGGUUUGUUUCUUAGAGUUCCAAGACACCAGGGACCUUCCUAAGAAUUGGCACGUCCCCGAUGUGCUCUUCCAAUCGACCUUACAUCCAGCAUAGUCGGAGUCUGAAUAUCCAAUCAAGUCAAAGGUAGACCCCUUUGGAUACCAGAGCCCGAAGCAAGGCGUAGCAACUAAAUAUCUAAGGAUUCGCUUCACUGCCACUAAGUGACACUCCUUAGGAUCGGAUUGGAAUCUAGCGCACAUGCAUACGCUAAGCAUAAUAUCCGGUCUACUAGCACAUAAAUAAAGUAAAGACCCUAUCAUUGACCGGUAUGCUUUUUGAUCAACGGACUUACCUCCUUUGUUGAGGUCGGUGUGUCUGUCGGUUCCCAUCGGAGUCUUUGCGGGCUUGGCGUCCUUCAUCCCAAACCGCUUCAGCAGGUCUUGUGUGUACUUCGUUUGAGAGAUGAAGGUGCCGUCCUUGAGUUGCUUCACUUGGAACCCAAGGAAGUAGUUCAACUCGCCCAUCAUUGACAUCUCGAAUUUCUGCGUCAUCACCCUGCUAAACUCUUCACAAGACUUUUUAUUAGUAGAACCAAAUAUUAUGUCAUCGACAUAAAUUUGGCACACAAACAAAUCACCAUCACAUGUCUUAGUGAAAAGAGUUGGAUCGUCUUUCCCAACCUUGAAAGCAUUAGCAAUUAAGAAAUCUCUAAGGCAUUCAUACCAUGCUCUUGGGGCUUGCUUAAGUCCAUAGAGCGCCUUAGAGAGCUUACACACGUGGUUGGGGUACCGUUCAUCCUCGAAGCCAGGGGGUUGCUCCACGUACACCUCCUCCUUUAUUGGCCCGUUGAGGAAAGCGCUCUUCACAUCCAUUUGGUACAACCUGAAGGAAUGGUGAGCAGCAUAUGCUAGCAAGAUACGAAUGGACUCUAGCCUAGCCACAGGAGCAAAAGUCUCCUCAAAGUCCAAACCUGCGACUUGGGCAUAACCUUUUGCCACAAGUCGAGCCUUGUUCCGUGUCACCACCCCGUGCUCGUCCUGUUUGUUGCGGAACACCCACUUGGUUCCCACAAUAUUUUGCUUGGGACGAGGCACCAGUGUCCAAACUUCAUUGUGCUUGAAGUUGUUGAGUUCCUCCUGCAUGGCCAACACCCAGUCCAGAUCUGGCAAGGCCUCUUCUACCCUGAAAGGCUCAAUAGAAGAGACAAAGGAGUAAUGUUCACAAAAAUUAACUAAUCGAGACCGAGUAGUUACUCCCUUGCUAAUGUCACCCAGAAUUUGGUCGACGGGAUGAUCUCUUUGAAUCAUCGCUCGAACUUGGAUUGGAGGUGCCGGUUCCGCUUCUUCCUCCAUCACAUGAUCAUCUUGUGCUCCCCCUUGAUCACACGCCUCCUGUUGAUGAACCUGUUCAUCGCCUUGAGUUGGGGGAUGCACCAUAGUUGAGGAAGAAGGUUGAUCUUGUUCAUCUUGUUCCUGUGGCCGAACUUCUCCAAUCGCCAUGGUUCGUAUAGCGGCUGUCGGAACAUCUUCUUCAUCUACAUCAUCACAAUCAACAACUUGCUCUCUUGGAGAGCCGUUAGUCUCAUCAAAUACAACGUCGCUAGAGACUUCAACCAAACCCGAUGAUUUGUUGAAGACUCUAUACGCCUUUGUAUUUGAGUCAUAACCUAACAAAAACCCUUCUACAGCUUUGGGAGCAAAUUUAGAAUUUCUACCUUUCUUCACUAGAAUGUAGCACUUGCUCCCAAAUACACGAAAGUAAGAUACAUUGGGUUUGUUACCGGUUAGUAGCUCAUAUGACGUCUUCUUGAGGAGGCGAUGAAGGUAGACCCUGUUGAUGGCGUGGCAAGCCGUGUUCACGGCUUCCGUCCAAAAGCACUCGGGGGUCUUGAACUCUCCUAGCAUCGUCCUAGCCAUAUCGAUGAGCGUCCUGUUCUUCCUCUCUACCACACCAUUUUGCUGUGGUGUGUAGGGAGCGGAGAACUCGUGCUUGAUCCCUUCCUCUUCAAGGAACUCCUCUACUUGAAGGUUCUUGAAUUCGGUCCCGUUGUCGCUCCUUAUCUUCUUCACUUUGAGCUCAAACUCAUUUUGAGCUCUCCUGAGGAAGCGCUUGAGGGUCCCUUGGGUUUCAGACUUAUCCUGCAAAAAGAAUACCCAAGUGAAGCGGGAAAAGUCAUCAACAAUAACUAGACCAUACUUACUUCCUCCUAAGCUCAGAUAGGCGACAGGUCCGAAGAGGUCCAUAUGCAGCAGCUCCAGAGGUCUUGAAGUGGUCAUCACAUUCUUGCUGUGAUGUGCUCCUCCCACUUGUUUACCUGCUUGACAAGCUGCACAAGGUCUAUCUUUUUCGAAUUGAACGUUAGUCAAACCUAUCACGUGUUCUCCCUUUAGAAGCUUGUGAAGGUUCUUCAUCCCCACAUGUGCUAAGCGGCGAUGCCACAGCCAGCCCAUGCUAGUCUUAGCUAUUAAGCAUGCAUCUAGACCGGCCUCUUCUUUUGCAAAAUCAACUAAAUAAAGUUUGCCGUCUAAUAUGCCCUUAAAAGCUAGUGAACCAUCACUUCUUCUAAAGACAGACACAUCUACAUUUGUAAAUAGACAGUUAUAUCCCAUAUUGCAUAAUUGACUUACAGAUAGUAAAUUAUAUCCCAGAGACUUAACUAAAAACACAUUAGAAAUUGAGUGCUCAUUUGAGAUUGCAAUUUUACCUAACCCUUUUACCUUGCCUUGAUUCCCAUCACCGAAUAUAAUUGAAUCUUGGGAAUCCUUAUUCUUGACGUAGGAGGUGAACAUCUUCUUCUCCCCCGUCAUAUGGUUUGUGCAUCCGCUGUCGAUAAUCCAGCUUGAACCCCCGGAUGCAUAAACCUGCAAGGCAAAUUUAGGCUUGGGUUUUAGGUACCCAACUCAUGUUGGGUCCUACAAGGUUAGUGCAAAUAUCCUUAGGGACCCAAAUGCAAGUUUUGUCUCCCUUGCAUUUUGCCCCUAACUUCCUAGCAACUAUUUUCUUAUCCUUUCUACAAAUAGCAAAGGAAGCAUUUAAAGCACAAUAAAUUGUAGAAGGUUCAUUCACUACUUUCCUAGGAGCAUGAAUAACAUUCUUUCUAGGCAUAUGAUGAAUAGCAUUUUUCCUAGACAUAUUUCUACCAUGCAUAUAGGAAGAACUAGAAGCAAACAUGUGAUGAGAAUCAAAAUCAUCAUAAGCAUUGUAACUCCUAUAAGCAUUUCUAGUUUGUCUCUUAUCAUGGUACAUAAACGCAUGGUUCUUUUGCACACUACUAGCCAUAGGGGCCUUCCCUUUUUCCUUGGCGGGAAUGGGAGCCUUAUGGCUUGUUAAGUUCUUGGCUUCUUUCUUGAAGCCAAGUCCAUCCUUAAUUGAGGGGUGUCUACCAACCGUGUAGGCAUCCCUUGCAAAUUUUAGCUUAUCAAAAUCACUUUUGCUAGUCUUAAGUUGGGCAUUAAGAAUAGCCAAUUCAUCUUUUAAUUUGAAAAUUGAAACUAGAUGUUCACUACAAGCAUCAAUAUCAAAAUCUUUACACCUAGUGCAAAUCAUAACAUGUUCUACACAAGAAUUAGAUUUAUUUGCUAUUUCUAACUUAGCAUUCAUAUCAUCAUUAAUGCUCCUUAAUUUAGAAAUUGUCUCAUGACAAGAAGAUAAUUCACAAGAAAGCAUUUCAUUUCUUUUAACUUCUAGAGCAUGAGAUCUUUGAGCUUCUAUGAAUUUAUCAUGCUCUUCAUACAAUAAAUCCUCUUGUUUCUCUAAGAGUUUAUCCUUCUCAUUCAAUGCAUCAAUGAGUUCAUUUAUCUUAUCUAUCUUAGAUCUAUCUAAGCCCUUGAAUAAGCAUGAAUAGUCUAUGUCAUCAUCAUCACUAGACUCAUUAUCACUAGAGGAAGCAUAAAUGGAGUCUCGAGUACUCACCUUCUUCUCCCUUGCCAUAAGGCAUGUGUGACGCUCGUUGGGGAAGAGGGUAGAUUUGUUGAAGGCGGUGGCGGCAAGUCCUUCAUUGUCGGAGUCGGAGGAGGAGCAAUCCGAAUCCCACUCCUUUCCGAUAUGUGCCUCGCCCUUGGCCUUCUUGUAAUGCUUCUUCUUCUCCCUUUUGUUCCCUUGGUCCUGAUCACUAUCAUUGUCGGGACAGUUAGCAAUAAAAUGACCAAGCUUACCGCAUUUGAAGCAUGAGCGCUUCCCCUUGGCUUUGGUCUUGCUUGGCUGUCCCUUGCGACCCUUAAGCGCCGUCUUGAAUCUUUUGAUGAUGAGGGCCAUCUCUUCAUCAUUGAGUCCGGCCGCCUCUAUUUGUGUCACCUUGCUAGGUAGCGCCUCCUUGCUUCUUGUUGCUUUGAGAGCAAGAGGUUGCGGCUCGUUGCUUGGUCCAUUCAGGGCGUCGUCCACGUACCUCGCCUCCUUGAUCAUCAUUCGCCCGCUGACGAAUUUUCCUAGGACUUCUUCGGGCGACAUUUUGGUGUACCUGGGAUUCUCACGAAUAUUAUUCACCAAAUGAGGAUCAAGAACGGUAAAAGACCUUAGCAUUAGUCGGACGACGUCGUGGUCCGUCCAUCGCGUGCUUCCGUAGCUCCUUAUUUUGUUAAUAAGGGUCUUGAGCCGGUUGUAUGUUUGAGUUGGCUCCUCGCCCCUUAUCAUCGCGAACCGUCCAAGCUCGCCCUCCAUCAACUCCGUUUUGGUAAGCAAGGUAACGUCAUUUCCCUCAUGAGAAAUUUUGAGGGUGUCCCAUAUCUGCUUGGCAUUGUCCAAGCCGCUCACCUUGUUGUACUCGUACCUGCACAAGGAGGCUAGCAACACAGUAGUAGCUUGUGCAUUUUUAUGAAUCUGUUCAUUAAUAAACAUAGGGCUAUCCGAGCUAUCAAAUUUCAUUCCAUUCUCUACAAUCUCCCAUAUGCUUGGAUGGAGAGAGAAUAAAUGACUACGCAUUUUGUGACUCCAAAAUCCAUAGUCCUCCCCAUCGAAGUGUGGAGGUUUGCCAAGAGGAAUGGAAAGCAAAUGCGAAUUCGAACUAUGUGGAAUGCGAGAAUAGUCAAAUGAAAAGUUCGAAUUGACCGUUUUCCUGUAGUCGUUAUCUUCGUCCUUUUGGGAAGAAGAUGAUUCGUCGCUGUCGUAGUAGACGAUCUCCUUGAUGCGCCUUGUCUUCUUCUUCUUCCCAUCUUUUCGCUUGUGGCUUGAGCCCAAGUCGGUAGACUUGUCAUUCUUCGGCUCGUUGAAGAUAGACUCCUUCUCGUUGUUGUCGACCACCAUCCCCUUUCCCUUAGGAUCCAUCUCUCCGGGCGAUUAGUCCCUUCUUGAAGAGAAUGGCUCUGAUACCAAUUGAGAGCACCUAGAGGGGGGGGGGUGAAUAGGUGAUCCUGUAAAACUUAAAAACUUAGGCCACAAAAACUUGUUAAGCGUUAGCACAGUUAAUGCCAAGUGGCUAGAGCGAAGAUCUUGCACAAUAUGAUAAUCACAAAGAGUUCAACACAGAGAAGACACAGUGAUUUAUCCCGUGGUUCGGCCAAGUACAAAACUUGCCUACUCCACGUUGUGGCGUCCCAACGGACGAGAGUUGCACUCAACUCCUCUCAAGUGAUCCAAUGAUCAACUUGGAUACCACAGUGUUAUGCUUUUCUUUUCUUAUCGCGUUUGCGAGGAAUCUCCACAACUUGGAGUCUCUCACCCUUACACUUGAAGUUCACAAAGAAGCACGGAGUAAGGGAGAGAAGCAACACACACAAAUCCACAGCAAAAUGCGCACACACACAGCCAAGAAUCGAGCUCAAAAGACUAUCUCAAAGUUCUCACUAAAACGGAGCUCGAAUCACUGAGAAUGACAAACAAUUGCGCAAAGACUGAGUGUGGAUGAUCAAGAAUGCUCUAAGGUUGCUUGUUUUUCCUCCAUGCGCCUAGGGGUCCCUUUUAUAGCCCCAAGGCAGCUAGGAGCCGUUGAGAGCAAAUCUGGAAGGCCAUCCUUGCCUUCUGUCGUCGGGCGCACCGGACAGUCCGGUGCCCGAUUUCCUUCCUUAAACAGCGCAGCCGACCGUUGCAGAUCUGGGAGCCGUUGGCGCAUCGGACAUGUCCGGUGCCCCUUCCGACCGUUGGCCAGGCCACGUGUCGCGCGCGGAUUCCGCGGCCGACCGUUGGCUCGGCCGACCGUUGGCUCACCGGACAGUCCGGUGCACACCGGACAGUCCGGUGAAUUAUAGCCGUACGCUGUCGGCGAAUUCCCGAGAGCGGCCACUUCACGCCAAGUCAGCCUGGCGCACCGGACACUGUCCGGUGCACCACCGGACAGUCCGGUGUGCCAGACUGAGCUGAGUCCUGGCUGUACACAGCCAAGUCUUUUUCACCUCUUUUCUUUUCUUCUUCUUUCUGUUUCUAACACUUAGACAAGUAUAUUAGUACACAAAACCAAUGUACUAAGGCUUAGAAACAUACCUUUACUCUUGAUUUGCACUUUGUUCAUCCAUGAGCAUAGAUUCACAUUUAAGCACUUGUGUUGGCACUCAAUCACCAAAAUACUUAGAAAUGGCCCAAGGGCACAUUUCCCUUUCAAAAGCCUUUUUGGCAUAGGAGAUAUCACACAUUGGAAUCCUAUUAGUAAGCAAAACGACCUUACCAAAUGUUUUAAGGCUAUAAAUCUCAGUUAUAAAUUGCUCAACCAGAUGUUGACACAUUGCUCUCUUUGUCGUUGAACGACAUGAAGCAAACUUUGAGAUAAAUGGCUAGUACCAUAGCAACACGAAGUUGUGAGUACACUGAGAGGUUAUUCUUAGAGAAAAAAUCACCAUGUUGGUGUGAAAAAACAUUGUGUGUUCCCGUCGAACCACUUUGCUUGUCCUAUCUAGGACCUAUAUGCUUGUAUUGCAUACAUAUAUCAGAAUUGUAAAUACUCAUAGUCGCUGAAUUGACUCAGGGUAGUACUUUGACGAGAAUGGUAAAGGUCAGUCCUGAAUGGACACAUACCUAGGGUUUAUGUAGCCUAACCACACUUGAUUUCACCCUUUGGCAUCCUUACAUUAUCUACCUCCGAUCUACCAGAAGUAAGAAGAGUAGAAAAAUAGUCGUGAAAUCCCACAUCACCACAGAGCUUGAAGCUACAUUAGACAUUAAUUUGUCCUUGGUUCUUGGCGUUGGAAGAGCCACAAUUCUCGACCACAAUAUUGUUCGUGAUGUUAAUUUGUGAUAAAAAUAUAAAUAUCUUAUGGAGACCUGGUGUAUUCUCCCUAGUCCUAAUGACUCCUUCGUAUGAGAGUAGUACUAUCUGUUGUUGAAGCCUGGUCCCAGACGGAUAUCGUUCUUGUUUCGCUCUUGCCAAGCAGUUAUCACCAUUUGCUUCGUGAAAAAGCUUAGCAAUCUGGUGAUUGUUUCCCAGAUAAAAGGAAUUCUUGGCCUUGUCUGUUCUAUUCCAAAGCUUCUCUUUUUGCUGAACAAUGAAGAGAUCGAAAUAAUGCUUUAUAGAACAAGUUGGUAUAUAAUAUGAGGAGAAAAGUUUGUCCUGCUGGCAUCUUACAUCACAAAUGAUUGAUUAUUGUUAUAAGUUCUCUCUCAAAAUUAUAAUACCUAAAAAUGUUGCAUAAAUUGAUACCCAAUUUAUGAACGGUAUAAGUAAUUGGGUAAAUCAUGGGCAAUGAUAAAAUGAGCUAGACUAUACAACUCUGCAUAUAAAAAUCUCUGCUUGGCAACAUUGGCCUGAUGCCAUGCACUUUACUACCAUUAUAUGUGUACCCAUUUUUCCUAUGUACUUCAAAGCACAAAGCAACCAGUGAAUGUUGUUGUGAGCACUAGACCCUGAUGGUCAUUUUACUUGUUGAUCUUAAGUCAACUAGUUGCUCCAAACGACGAAUGGUGUGCAUGAGCCCCUCAAGGACCCUUAUGGCUAACAUAGUGUUGUGCAUAUCAGUCUAAAUCUUAACAAUUGAUUGUGUAUUUGGUAACAAUAACAGUAAGUUUGCAGAACCAUAAAACAACUUGUUGUUGUGUGUCUUGCUAGAAGUUGAGACUAACCCUUCACAUUGAAGGAAAAGAAUGUAGUAUUCAUGCCACUGCAUUAAUCUAAGUCCAAAGCUCACUGCAUAAAACCCCUAUCUGUAAUGUGCAUAAGAUUUCCCAAAUAAAUUACCACAAAUAGCAUACAUCGGCCACAACUAGAUGAUUGUGGUUGGGGAUUUUAUCUAUAUGCUUUUAAGAACAUCUCGACAUUAGGGGGAGGAAUGCCCAUAUAGUGUAAUGCAUCAAUAUUCUAUUAAACGCACAAAAGCCAAACUGAACCUAUCAUUCGGUGUGUAAUCCUGUGUAUAUGGAGUUUGCCAGAAAUCUUUGAGGAGUAACCAUAUUGGUCUGAAUGCUUCUACCUGAUGUAGAUGUGGAUAUACCUGAGAUUAAUAUCAUAUCCACAUUUGACUUAUUGGCAUUUGAUCUAUUCUCGGGGACGCCUGCGAAUAUGAUCCAUUGGCCUUAGUCAAAGCAUAUGUUUUGAUUGCAGAUUCACGUGGGCUGAAAUAACUUUCCUCCGAUGAACUCUCCCUGCUGGUGAUUUGCCUCACGAAGAGGUUCAUCUUGAUGAUGAAGUUCCUAGCAAUGCGGCAAUAUCAUUGUGCUGGGAAUGCGGAACAAUGAAUCUUUCGUUUUGGGAAAUGACAUAGAUCAUUAUUAAAUGUGGGAGACAAAUAUGUCGACACCUAUCUUGCCUCUCUAGAUUGCAAAGGGAUCCAAAACAAAGUCCUAGGCAUGAGUGUUUGAAGCUCUCUUAUCGGGUCAAUGAUAAAUGCAAUCGAGGCUGAACCAAUAAUCGCUAAAUGAAAGUCGCGAGCUUGAAGUUCGGACAUUUAUGGGCACUAUUGAAAUAAUGUGUGGUGAAUGUGAUGGUUCAAGUGGUCUUGUGAGAGACCCACCCCACAUAUGUGUUGAAUAAACAUUGUUCUGCUAUGUAAUAUAUUUGGCAAAUGACAUGAAUUAAAAUAUACAGUUAAUAGGAUUCUGAAGAUCCAUCAUGAGAUCCUAUGAGGAUUCAUAUCUUUGAUUUAUAAAUAUGCAACAUAUAAAUCUCAUACCGAAUAAUACAUUCCUGAUGAAUGACCACUCUCCAGUGUAGAGAGAAUAUCUCCUAGUUGAGAUUAUAGUUCCCAACUGGAACCUUCCAAGAGGAAACAAAGUCUGUGUUCAACACCAAAGUUUGAUAACCACAAUAAAGGGAUAAAGGCCCAUACAGACCCGAAAAGGAAUAAGAUGAGGUACCAAAGGGCUUGAAGUUCACCGAAUAAGCACAUGUGCAUUCCACGAGUUUUACUCAUGGUAUUUUCCACUUGAUGUGGAAUUACGGUAUCCUCUAAAGCCCUGAUGGCAGAAACCUAUAAGAUUUAGGUGUUUCUGGCAAAAUAUCCCCAUUGUGCCAGAAUGACAGACUAUAACGAUGUAUUUGAUCGAUGAAAAAUCCCUGAUGGAUUACGAUCUUUGAUGGACUUUUGUUACACCAUCAUAGAAGUUGUAAUGAAUAAACGCCUGGAGUGAUGAGUCAUAUCUAGAAUAUGUACUAUUACAACUAUAAUAUCUCCUAAGUCCUAUGGAAGGACAAAUUAUUUGCUUUGCACAACUAUGUGUUGACAACUUUUUGGAGGCGUCAAAUACUCAAGAAGAACCGGCGGCGGUGCUCUCUGGUCAGGCGCGGACGGUCCGCGGCCUGGGGCCGAACGGUCCGCGACCUGGCGCAGGGGCUAGAGUUUCCUGCCUGACGGCCGGACGGUCCGCGCCCUGGGGCCGGAUGGUCCGCGUGUGUGCAGGGGCGGCGGAAGAUCGCCGGCGGCGCCUGGAUCUCGCUCCCGGGAGGGACCCCGUCGGGGAGGAGAGAUCCUAGGGGUUGUCUAGGCUUGGGCCGGCCGACCUAGACUCCUCUAAUCGGCAUAGAGUCGAAGAGAGGCGAAGAAUUUGGGGAUCAAGAGGCUAAACUAGAACUAGAAUAGAACUACUCCUAAUUAUACUGGAAAUAAAUGCGAAUAGAAGUUGUAUUGAUUCGAUUGAUGAUUACAAAUCGCCCGUAGACCUCUCUUUUUAUAGAGGAGGGGGGCUGGACCCUUUACAUGACUGGAUUCCGAGCUAAUUCCGCAAAUCUAGCCAACAAACAUAGCACAAAACUCGGAACCCUAAACUGUUCUGCGUAUGCGCGGACCGUCCGGCCCACAGGCGCGGACUGUCCGGACCGCGGACCGUCCGGCCUCAGGGCCGGACCGUCCGCCAGGCUCAAAACGGUGCUCAACAUAUGCCCCCCUGCCUUUUGGUGGAGCUGAGCAAACCAAAAGCAACUAACUCGAUGUGAUUACAUCGGUUCUCUUAGGCAUCUUGCCACAUACUAGGAUGGUACUGUUUGAGGAAACGCUCAUUCAAAGCCUUAGGCAAAUCCUUGCCUUGUAAUGUUUGUAGCAAAUAGGCGUUGCCAGACAUCACCUGUUUUACUUUAUAAGGACCCUCCCAGCUUGGCGACCAUUUCCCGAACUUCCGGUCUUUAUUCCUUAGAGGCAGAAUAGUAUUCCACACCAGGUCCCCUACUUGAAAUGAUUUUGCUUUUACCUUCUUGUUGUAGGCCCUGGCUACCAUGAUCUUGUCCUUUUCUAUUGCUCCCAAAGCUAUCAUCCUCUUGUCGGUCACCUCAUCAAUAUUAUCCAUCAUUGAAUUAUAAUAAUCAGUAGCAGUUAGAUCAUUUUGUCUGGCGAACAUGACAGCAUUCAUACUUAUUUCCACAGGCAACACUGCUUCCUGCCCAUAGACAAGCUCAAAAGGAGACACUUUAGUAGCCCUAUGUUUAGAUAUCCUAUGAGCCCAUAAAGCUUCAGACAAAAUCUUAUGUUAGGAUUAUCAGAUAUCUUCUUUUUUAUCAAAUUAAUCAAUGUCCUAUUACUAGACUCGGCCUGUCCAUUGGCCUGAGCAUAAUAUGGAGAUGAAUUAAGCAUCUUAAUUCUGUAUAAUUCAGCAAACUCACGUACCUCCUUUGACAUAAAAGAAGUACCUUGAUCUGUAGUCAAGGUCUGGGGAAUGUCGAAUCUAUGAAUAAUAUGCUCAGUUAUGAACUCAAUAACCUCCUUGUGCGUCAUGUUCUUUAGAGCAACGGCUUCAGUCCAUUUGGUGAAAUAGUCAGUGGCAACUAACACAAACCGAUGCCCCUUUGAUGAUGAAGGAUGAAUUUCUCCAAUAAAGUCUAAUCCCCAUCCUUUGAACGGCCAAGGCUUGAUGAUAGGAUGUAAUUCGGCUGCAGGGACCAACUGUAGGUCGCCGAAUUUUUGACACAUUUGGCAACCCUUGUAGUACUUGAAACAAUCAGCUAUCAUACUAGGCCAAUAAAAACUAGACCUUCGCAACAACCACUUCAUCUUUGGAGCUGAUUGAUGGGUACCACAAAUUCCUUCAUGUACUUCGGCCAUGGCUAAUAUAGCAUCAUCUGGGCCCAAGCACUUGAGCAGGACGUCAUUGACUGUUCGGCGGUAAAGUUCAUCACUCAUCAAAACAUACUUGAAAGUUGUUCGCCGAAUGUUCUUAUAUGUCCUAAUAUUGGGAUUUCAUAAAUAAUUAAGUAUAGGUGUCCUCCAAUCACUUGCAUCGGCUUCAUUAUCAGCCGAAUCGAUUAAGAGAACAUUUCUGGUAACCCCGGACGGUCCGGCGUCAUCACGCUGACGGUCCGCGACCUGGGAAUUUGGCUCUGCACUGGUUAUCAGAUUUUCAGUUUUCUGAAAUUUCCCUCUCUUUAUCCGAUAACCUGAUGCAUCUUGUGCCAAAUCGUUAGCUCUAUGAUUCUCAACUCUAGAGAUAUGCCGAAUGCUGAAUUCGUCAAAAGAAUGGAUUAUGCUCCAACAUUUCUCAAGGUAACUAUUUAGAGUACCAUCAAAACAUUGAUAUUCUUCUAACACUUGUUGGACCACCAGUUGAGAAUCACCAAAUACCUUCACAUGUUUUACUCCCAUACCAUUUAAAAGUUCUAAGCCAAAUAGGAGGGCCUCAUAUUCAGCUUGAUUAUUAGUGCAAUAAGUUUUCAAUCGGCUAGAGAAGUCAAAGGAGACAUUACUUGGUGAAACAAGCACAAUGCCAAUUCCUUGCCCUUCAUUGCAAACUGAUCCAUCGAAAUAUAAAGUCCAAGGAGUAAUAGUGAGGUAUGACAUGUCUAGUUCAUGAAUAUCAUUAACCCGAUGUUCUACAAUGAAAUCCGCUACGACUUGGCCUUUCAUAGAUUUCAAUGGUUCAUAGGCCAAGUCAUAUUCUAUGAGUGCAUAAGCCCACUUACCAAUUCUACCACUCAUAAUUGGGUUAUGCAACAUGUAUUUGAUCACAUCGGCUUGACCAGAAAUAGUGCAAUGACUAGACAGUAAAUAACAUCUACAUUUGGUGCAUGCAUAAAACAAGCAUAAGCAUAACUUUUCAAUAAAAGUGUACCUUGUUUCAGCAUCCACCAACCUUCGGCUUAGAUAUGUCACCACAUGCUCCUUCCCCUCAGUUUCUUGUGUCAGAACAGCCCCAAUGACCUUAUCCUCAGCUGCAAUGUAUAAUCAGAAUGGUACUCCUGCUCGUGGUGCUUUUAAUACGGGAGCCGAAGAUAAGUAUUUUUUGAUGGGAUCAAAUGCUUCUUGCUGUUCUGCCCCCAAGCGAAUUCGGCAUCAUUCUUAAGCCGAAGAAUAGGGGUGAACGCAUCAAUCUUCUCGGCUAGGUUAGAAAUAAACCUUCGUAAAUAAUUCACAUUGCCGAGAAACUUCUGUACCUCGACCUUACAGGUCGGAGGUCUCACAUUCCGAAUAGACUUGAUUCGGUCAGGGUCUAUCUCUAUACCAUGUUCAUGUAUGACAAAUCCUAAAAACUUACCAGUCGACACUCCAAAAGCACAUUUACGUGGGUUCAUUUUCAAACCAUACCGACGCAUUUUAUCAAAGGCUUUGCGCAAAUCAGCUAUACAAGAACUAAACUCAGCCGAUUUGACUACAAUAUCAUCAAUGUAAACUUCCACAGUGUUUCCUAACAAUUCAUGGAAGAUCAAAUUCAUAGCCUUCUGAUAAGUAGCACCAGCAUUUUUCAGACCAAAUGUCAUGACAACCCACUCAAAUAAACCAAUGAAGCCUGGACAUAUAAAGGCCGUUUUAGACGCAUCUUCUUCGGCCAUGAAAAUCUGAUUAUAUCCGGCAUUACCAUCAAGGAAGCUAAUAAUUCUAUUCCCUGAUGCAUUAUUGAUUAAUGUGUCGGUUAUGGGCAUGGGAUAUUCGUCUUUAGGAGUUGCUCUAUUUAAAUUGCGAAAAUCAAUGCAUACUCUAAGCUUACCUGACUCCUUCUUCUCCAUCGGCACAAUAUUGGAGACCCACUCUGCGUAUCUGCAAGGUCUGAUAAAAUCAGCUUCUAGUAGCCGGUGGAUUUCGUCCUUGAUGCGUGGGAGAAGAUCUGGACGAAAUGUUCUAGCUCUUUGCUUGAAAGGUCUGAAACCAGACUUAAUAGGCAGCCGAUGCUCUACGAUCUCUCGGCUUAAUCCAGGCAUCUCAGUGUAAUUCCAAGCAAAGCAAUAUGAAUAUUCCUUCAAUAGACCGAUCAUCUCAUCUCUAGGAUCGGUCUCUAGGGUCUUGUUUACAAAAGUCGGCCUUGGAGUUUUACCAUCUCCUAUGUCAAUCUCCUCCAAAGGAUCGGCCGAUGUAAACCCCUGUCCUAGUUUAUCAAGAUCUCUAAAUUCCUCUAUCAUGUUCCCCCCAGAGGAAUUAGAUGAUCUUUGUAUGACGGCGGACUUUCCGGUCUCGGGGACCGGAUCAUCCAUAAUACUAUCCUUUUGAUGUGAUAUAUGUUCGGUCUUAAAGUUCGAACCCUUUUGUGAAAGACCAGACCAUCCGGCCUUGGAAGCCGAACUGUCCAUGACCAGGGACUCAUGAACUUUGUGUGUAUUCAUCAUUUAAACUUUAUUUAGGAUUUAGCCGAUUCUCCAUCGGCUCUAGCAUUACAGGAAUGAAACCUUUCUUAUCUAUACUUAUGAAUUGAUAAUCAGAAAAAUCUACUCCUGUGAGACAUGUAGCAGUCUCAUAAGUCCAGAGUACAGGGGCAUUGGCCACAGCGAUGCAGGCCGAUACAUCAGCAUGUACUUAUUCUAUGUCAUCGCCUACCCAUUGUAUUAGCAUUUGAUGUAAUGUAGAAGGUAUACAUUGAUUGGCGUGAAUCCAAUCUCUGCCUAGGAUUAAACUGUAAUUUCCUUCUACAUCAGCGACGAAGAAUGCAGCGGCAAGGGUCUUAGUCCCGAUGGUUAAUUCAACGGACGUGACUCCCCUGGCUUUGAUCGAACUAUCAGUUCCAACACCGCUGAGGGUCAUGUUGGUUUUGACAAGUUCGUCAUCUUGUUUACCUAAUUUUCUGUACAAUGAAUAAGGCAUUAGAUUUACAGUCGCCCCUCCAUCUACCAACAUCUUAGUAAUCGGUAUCCCAUCAAUGUGGCCGCGCACGAAGAGCGGCUUUAAAUGAUUUACCGAUUCUCUUGGUUUAGUAAAGGCGGCUUCUUUAGGACCAAAAUCAAACUGGGCAACAACAGGUUCAUCGUCGCCGAUGAUAGUACAAUCGGCAGAAAAUGUAAUAAUAUUUUUACAUCCAUAUCUGGGCGUUCUGGAGAAGCCUCGUAGUCGACCAGGUCUUCUUCCAGCAGGUCGUCCUCUUCCAUUGAUGUUGUCGUGUCGUUGGAGGCUUCCUGGUGAACGGCGGACGGUCCGCGCGCGGGGGCUGGACGGUCCACGCCUGGUGCAGGUUGUCCAGAGGCUUCCUGGUGAACGGCGGACGGUCGGCGCGCGGGGACCGGACGGUCCGCGCCUGGUGCAGGUUGUCCAGAGGCUUCCUGGUGAACGGUGGACGGUCCGUGCGCGGGGGCCGGACGGUCCGCGCCUGGUGCAGGUUGACUUUCUAUUUCUGUGGUCGUUUGUUUUUUCUCAACGGCCUUCGGUCUCCAUUUCUUUUGCGGUGGCGGGUAUAGUGGAUGUGUGUCAUUAAAUGUCUUUUCCGCCUCCUUCUCCUGGCUCUCCUUUGCUCUUAGGCGCUGUAAUUUUCUCUUUUGGGAUCGUGUCAAUCCCGCUGGGCACCAUCGAGGCAUGGAGUAUUUUGGAUCGGCUGUUUUGAUGGUAGCCGUAUCCUUUUCGGUUGUGUUGGCCGAUUCGCCGAAAAUCAUCGGCCCUUUAUUGUCUCCCUGUAUGACAACAUCUACAGUGCCUAUUUUGAUGAUGUCCUUUUUUGUUGUUCUUUGAGUUGCUACAGGCAUAUGCCCCCCUGCCGGAUUGGUCGGCCUAGGAGGCCGAGUAGUCCGGCAAUCUUGUUGGGCCUGUGCCUGGUGACCGGAUUCAGCGGCGCUCAAUCGGUCUUGCACUGGCGGCGCCAACCUAUCAAAAACGGAUGUUUGGGGUGCCCCCCAGGCGGGGUAUUGUGGCAUCCCAAAUGGAUAUGGUGGCAUGCCCCACAUUUGAUUUGAGACAUAUGGUGGAGGUAAGUAUGUGUAUGGAUAUGGCAUAGAUGGAUAAGGGGGUGGAGGUGUCCAUGUCGGCAUGUUAGGUCUCAAUUGUACAAUAGGACCUUUCAUUUCUUCCGAUUGGUGAGGUGGUCCAAUCGGCCUGACCUGACGUUGCUCAUGAAUGGGUGAGCGGGGUCGCUUUGGUGGCCGGUCACUGGGGCCGGCCUUCUUUUUCACGUAUUUAGACAACAAUUGAUCGAAAGUCGGGCCAGGCUUGAUCAGCCAACCAGCUGCUUUAAAUGUAUUUGUUUUCCACGUACCUAUCUCUGGUCGUCGUGGUUUGAAGGUAUGUGGUCGCUGCGAGUCCUGAGCAUGGCCGAACCGUUCGCUAGAGUCCUCCGGACCGUCCGGAGAAGCGUCGGACCGUCCGCGUCUAGACGGCGGACUGUCCGUGAUGCGCAGCACGGGUUCCAGCAACUGUCUCCCUGUCUGCGCUUGCCCCCCAGUGCUAGAGGCUGUGAUGGUCACCUUCAGGGUCUCCCCUCCAUCGGGAGUCUUCUCGGCCACCACUUUCCGGCAAGAAACUUUACAAUCCCCAUCGGCUUUUUUAGCAUUGUCGAUGAUUGUUUCCUUGCCUUUGCCUUUAUCAGCUGUAUUUUGCCGAACCAGGACUUUCUUGCCCUCGAAGUCAAUCAUGUUCAUCGGAAAGGGCUCUGUAUCCACCUGCAUUUCCUGAAAUUUCAAUCGUCCUUCGUUAAUGGCCGAUUGAAUCUGUCGCCGAAAUACAUUACAAUCAUUAGUGGCAUGAGAAAAUGAGUUAUGCCACUUGCAGUAUGCACGACGUUUUUGAAAGGGAAAUGUGCCUUUGGGCCAUUUCUAAGUAUUUUGGUGAUUGAGUGCAAACACAAGCGCUUAAAUGUGAAAAUAUGCCCAAGGAUGAACAAAGUGCAAAUCACAAGUUAAGGUAUGUUUCUAAGCCUUAGUACAUUGGUUUGUGUACUAAUAUUCUUGUCUAAGUGUUAGAAACAGGAAGAAGAAAAGAAGUGGAGAGUGGCUGUGUGCAGUCAAAGGCUGCUUCGGGCUGGGGCACCGGACUGUCCGGUGUGCACCGGACAGUGUCCGGUGCGCCAGACCAGCGCGGAGCAAACCAGCCGCUCUCGGGUUUUUUCUCCGGCGACUUCGGCUAAAAUUCACCGGACUGUCCGGUGUGCACCGGACUGUCCGGUGAGCCAACGGUCGGCCGGGCCAACGGUCGGCCGCACGAUCACCGCGCGACACGUGGCCGAGCCAACGGUCGGAUGGAAGCACCGGACUGUCCGGUGUGCACCGGACUGUCCGGUGCGCCAGAUCUGCAGUAGUCGGCAACGGUCGGCUGCGCCUGUUAAGGAAAGAAAUCGGGCACCGGACAGUGUCCGGUGUGCACCGGACUGUCCGGUGCGCCCGACGACAGAAGGCAAGGAUGGCCUUCCAGAAUUGUUCUCAACGGCUCCUAGCUGCCUUGGGGCUAUAAAAGGGACCCCUAGGCGCAUGGAGGAAAUAACCAAGCAUUCCUUGAGCACUCUUGAUCACUCACACAUCAAUCUUGCGCACUUGUUCGACAUUCUAGUGAUUUGAGCUCCGUUCUAGUGUGCUAGUCUUUUGAGCUCAAGUCUGGGUCUUGGGUGUGCGUAUUCGCUGUGAUCUUUGUGUCGUGUGUGAGUUGCUAAUCCCUCCCUUGCUCUGUGAUUCUCUGUAAACAUCUUUUGUAAGGGCGAGAGGCUCCAAGUUGUGGAGAUUCCUCGCAAACGGGAUUGAGAAAAGAAAAGCAAGAACACCGUGGUAUUCAAGUUGAUCAUUGGAUCACUUGAGAGGAGUUGAGUGCAACUCUCGUCCGUUGGGACGCCACAACGUGGAGUAGGCAAGUUUUGUACUUGGCCGAACCACGGGAUAACCACCGUGUCAUCUCUGUGAUUGAUUUCUUGUGGUUAUUGUGUUUUGACUCCUCUCUAGCCACUUGGCCAUAAUUGUGCUAACACUUAACAAGUCUUUGUGGCUUAAGUUUUGAAGUUUUACAGGAUCACCUAUUCACCCCCCCCCCCCCUCUAGGUGCUCUCAAUUGGUAUCAGAGCCGUUCUCUUCAAGAAAGGGACUAACCGCCCGAAAAGAUGGAUCCUAAGGGGAAGGGAAUUGUGAUCAACUACAAGGAGAAGGAGUCCUUCGUCAACGAGCCAAGGGAUGACAAGUCCAAUGACUCGGGCUCGGGCCACAAGCGAAGAGAUGGGAAGAAGAAGAAGACAAGACGCAUCAAGGAGAUCGUCUACUACGACAGCGAUGAGUCCUCUUCUUCCCAAAAGGACGACGACCACGACAAACAAAGGAAACCGAUUAAUUCUAACUUUUCUUUUGACUACUCUCGUAUUCCGCAAAGUUCAAAUUCACAUUUGCUUUCCAUUCCACUCGGCAAGCCCCCACACUUUGAUGGGGAGGACUACGGAUUUUGGAGCCACAAAAUGCGUAGUCACCUAUUCUCUCUCCAUCCUAGCAUAUGGGAGAUUGUAGAUAGUGGAAUGCACUUUAAUAGUUCGGAUAGUCCUAUAUUCAUUAAUGAGCAAAUCCAUAAGAAUGCACAAGCUACUACUGUUCUUCUAGCCUCAUUGUGCAGAGAUGAAUAUAAUAAAGUGAGUGGCUUGGAUAACGCCAAGCAAAUCUGGGAUACCCUCAAGAUCUCUCAUGAGGGAAAUGACGCUACCUUGCUCACCAAAAUGGAGUUGGUGGAGGGCGAGCUUGGACGGUUCGCGAUGAUAAGGGGCGAGGAGCCAACUCAGACAUACAACCGGCUCAAGACCCUUAUCAACAAAAUAAGGAGCUACGGAAGCACGCGAUGGACGGACCACGACGUCGUCCGACUAAUGCUCAGGUCCUUUACCGUUCUUGAUCCUCAUUUGGUGAAUAAUAUUCGUGAGAAUCCCAGGUACACCAAAAUGUCGCCCGAAGAAGUCCUAGGAAAAUUCGUCAGCGGGCGAAUGAUGAUCAAGGAGGCAAGGUAUGUGGACGACGCCUUGAAUGGACCGAUCAACGAGCCACAACCUUUUGCUCUCAAAGCCACAGGGAACAAGGAGGCGCUACCCAUCAAGGUGGCGCAAAUUGAGGCGGCCGGCCUUAAUGAAGAAGAAAUGGCCCUCAUUAUCAAGAGAUUCAAGACGGUGCUAAAGGGUCGCAAUGGACAGCCGAGCAAGACUAAGACCAAGGGGAAGCGAUCAUGCUUCAAAUGCGGUAAGCUUGGUCAUUUUAUUGCUAACUGUCCCGAUAAUGAUAGUGACCAGGAAAAGGGAAACAAGAGGGAAAAGAAGAAGCAUUACAAGAAGGCAAAGGGCGAGGCACAUCUAGGCAAGGAGUGGGACUCGGAUUGCUCCUCGUCCGACUCUGACAAUGAAGGACUCGCCGCCACCGCCUUCAACAAAUCAACCCUCUUCCCCAACGAGCGUCACACAUGCCUUAUGGCAAGGGAGAAGAAGGUAUGCAAUCAAAACAAUGUCACUUAUGAUUCUUCCAGUGAUGAUGAGUCUAGUGAUGAUGAAAUAGAUUAUUCAUGUUUAUUCAAGGGCUUAGAUAGAUCUAAGAUAGACAAAAUUAAUGAAUUAAUUGAUGCCUUGAAUGAAAAGAAUAUACUUUUAGAAAAGCAAGAGGAUUUGUUGUAUGAAGAACAUGAUAAGUUUGUAGAGGCUCAAAAAUCCCUUGCAUUAGAAAUUAAGAGGAAUGAAAUGCUUGCUUGUGAAGUGUCAUCAUGCCAUGAUUCUAUUUCUAACUUAAAGAGCAUAAACGAUGAUUUAAAUGCUAAACUAGUAGAAGCAAAUAAAUCCAACUCUUGUGUUGAAUGUGUUGAAGUUUGCACUAGGUGUAAGGAUGUUGAUAUUAAUGCUUGUAGUGAACACUUAGUUUCAAUUUCAAAACUAAAUGAUGAAGUGGCUAGUCUUAAUGCUCAACUUAAGACUAGCAAGAGUGAAGUUGAUAGAAUAAAAUUUGCAAGGGAUGCCUACACGGUUGGUAGACACCCCUCAAUUAAGGAUGGGCUUGGCUUCAAAAGGGAAGCCAAGAACUUAACAAGCCAUAAGGCUCCCAUUCCCGCCAAGGAGAAAGGGAAGGCCCCUAUGGCUAGUAGUGCAAAAAGGAACCAUGCCUUUAUGUACCAUGAUAGGAGACAUGCUAGAAAUGCUUGUAAUGAUUCAUAUGUUUAUGAUUCUCAUACCAUGUUUGCUCCUAGUUCUUCAUAUGUGUAUGAUAGAAAUGUUACCAGGAAAAAUGUUGUUCCUAAAAAGAAUGUUAUUCAUGCUCCUAGGAAAGUAGCAAAUGAACCUUCUACCAUUUAUUAUGCUUGCAAUGCUCCCUUUGCUAUUUGUAGAAAGGGUAAAAAGGUAAUUGCUAGGAAGUUAGGGGCAAGAUGCAAGGGAGAUAAAACUUGCAUUUGGGUCCCUAAGAAUAUUUGUGCUAACCUUGCAGGACCCAACAUGAGUUGGGUACCUAAAACCCAAGCCUAAAUUUGCCUUGCAGGUUUAUGCAUCCGGGGGUUCAAGCUGGAUUAUAGACAGCGGAUGCACAAACCAUAUGACGGGGGAGAAGAAGAUGUUCACCUCCUACGUCAAGAAUAAGGAUUCCCAAGAUUCAAUUAUAUUCGGUGAUGGGAAUCAAGGCAAGGUAAAAGGGUUAGGUAAAAUUGCAAUUUCUAAUGAGCACUCUAUAUCUAAUGUGUUUUUAGUAGAGUCUCUUGGUUAUAAUUUGCUAUCUGUCAGUCAAUUAUGCAACAUGGGGUAUAAUUGUCUAUUUACAAAUGUAGAUGUGUCUGUCUUUAGAAGAAGUGAUGGUUCACUAGCUUUUAAGGGUGUAUUAGACGGCAAACUUUACUUAGUUGAUUUUGCAAAAGAGGAGGCCGGUCUAGAUGCAUGCUUAAUUGCUAAGACUAGCAUGGGCUGGCUGUGGCAUCGCCGCUUAGCACAUGUGGGGAUGAAGAACCUUCACAAGCUUCUAAAGGGAGAACAUGUAAUAGGUCUAACUAAUGUUCAAUUUGAAAAAGAUAGACCUUGUGCAACUUGUCAAGCAGGGAAACAAGUAGGAGGCUCUCAUCACACCAAAAAUGUGAUGACGACAUCAAGACCCUUGGAGAUGCUGCAUAUGGACCUCUUCGGACCCGUCGCCUAUCUGAGCAUAGGAGGGAGUAAGUAUGGUCUAGUUAUUGUAGAUGAUUUUUCCCGCUUCACUUGGGUGUUCUUUUUGCAGGAUAAGUCUGAAACCCAAGGGACCCUCAAGCGCUUCCUCAGGAGGGCUCAAAAUGAGUUUGAGCUCAAAGUGAAAAAGAUAAGGAGCGACAACGGGUCCGAGUUCAAGAACCUUCAAGUGGAGGAGUUCCUUGAAGAGGAAGGGAUCAAGCACGAGUUCUCCGCUCCCUACACACCACAGCAAAAUGGUGUGGUAGAGAGGAAGAACAGGACGCUCAUCGACAUGGCGAGGACGAUGCUAGGAGAGUUCAAGACCCCCGAGUGCUUUUGGACGGAAGCCGUGAACACGGCUUGCCACGCCAUCAACAGGGUCUACCUUCAUCGCCUCCUCAAGAAGACGUCGUAUGAGCUACUAACCGGUAACAAACCCAAUGUAUCGUACUUUCGUGUAUUUGGGAGUAAAUGCUACAUUCUAGUGAAGAAGGGUAGGAAUUCUAAGUUUGCUCCCAAAGCUGUAGAAGGGUUUUUGUUAGGUUAUGACUCAAAUACAAAGGCGUAUAGAGUCUUCAACAAAUCAUCGGGUUUGGUUGAAGUCUCUAGUGACGUUGUAUUUGAUGAGACUAAUGGCUCUCCAAGAGAGCAAGUUGUUGAUUGUGAUGAUGUAGAUGAAGAAGACAUUCCAACGGCCGCCAUACGCACCAUGGCGAUUGGAGAAGUGCGGCCACAGGAACAAGAUGAGCAAGAUCAACCCUCUUCCUCAAUUAUGGUGAAUCCCCCGACUCAAGACGAUGAACAGGUUCAUCAAAAGGAGGCGUGUGAUCAAGGGGGAGCACAAGAUGAUCACGUAAUGGAGGAAAAGGCGCUACCGGCACCUCCAACCCAAGUUCGAGCGAUGAUUCAAAGGGAUCAUCCCGUCGACCAAAUUCUGGGUGACAUUAGCAAGGGAGUAACUACUCGGUCUCGAUUAGUUAAUUUUUGUGAGCAUUACUCCUUUGUCUCUUCUAUUGAGCCUUUCAGGGUAGAGGAGGCCUUGCUAGAUCCGGAUUGGGUGUUGGCCAUGCAAGAGGAGCUCAACAACUUCAAGCGCAAUGAAGUUUGGACACUGGUGCCUCGUCCGAAGCAAAAUGUUGUGGGAACCAAGUGGGUGUUCCGCAACAAACAGGAUGAGCACGGAGUGGUGACGAGGAACAAGGCUCGACUUGUGGCAAAAGGUUAUGCCCAAGUCGCAGGUUUGGACUUUGAGGAGACUUUCGCUCCUGUGGCUAGGCUAGAGUCCAUUCGUAUCUUGCUAGCAUAUGCCGCUCACCAUUCUUUCAGGUUGUACCAAAUGGAUGUGAAGAGCGCUUUCCUCAACGGGCCAAUCAAGGAGGAGGUGUACGUAGAGCAACCCCCUGGCUUUGAGGAUGAACGGUACCCCGACCAUGUGUGUAAGCUCUCUAAGGCGCUCUAUGGACUUAAGCAAGCCCCAAGAGCAUGGUAUGAAUGCCUUAGAGACUUUUUAAUAGCUAAUGCUUUCAAGGUUGGGAAAGCCGAUCCAACACUUUUUACAAAGACAUGUGAUGGUGAUUUGUUUGUGUGCCAAAUUUAUGUCGAUGACAUAAUAUUUGGUUCUACUAACCAAAAGUCUUGUGAAGAGUUUAGCAGGGUGAUGACGCAGAAAUUCGAGAUGUCGAUGAUGGGCGAGUUGAACUACUUCCUUGGGUUCCAAGUGAAGCAACUCAAGGACGGCACCUUCAUCUCCCAAACGAAGUACACGCAAGAUUUGCUAAAGCGGUUUGGGAUGAAGGACGCCAAGCCCGCAAAGACUCCGAUGGGGACCGACGGACACACAGACCUCAACAAAGGAGGUAAGUCUGUUGAUCAAAAAGCAUACCGGUCAAUGAUAGGGUCUUUACUUUAUUUAUGUGCUAGUAGACCGGACAUUAUGCUUAGUGUAUGCAUGUGUGCUAGAUUUCAAUCCGAUCCUAAGGAGUGUCACUUAGUGGCGGUGAAGCGAAUUCUUAGAUAUUUGGUUGCUACGCCUUGCUUCGGGCUCUGGUAUCCAAAAGGGUCUACCUUUGACUUAGUUGGAUACUCAGACUCCGACUAUGCUGGAUGUAAGGUCGAUAGGAAGAGUACAUCAGGGACGUGCCAAUUCUUAGGAAGGUCCCUGGUGUCAUGGAACUCUAAGAAACAAACCUCCGUUGCCCUAUCCACCGCUGAGGCCGAGUAUGUUGCCGCAGGACAGUGUUGCGCGCAACUACUUUGGAUGAGGCAAACCCUCCGGGACUUUGGCUACAAUCUGAGCAAAGUCCCACUCCUAUGUGAUAAUGAGAGUGCUAUCCGCAUGGCGGAAAAUCCUGUUGAACACAGCCGCACAAAGCACAUAGACAUCCGGCAUCACUUUCUGAGAGACCACCAGCAAAAGGGGGAUAUCGAAGUGUUUCAUGUUAGCACCGAGAACCAGCUAGCCGAUAUCUUUACCAAGCCUCUAGAUGAGAAGACCUUUUGCAGGCUGCGUAGUGAACUAAAUGUCUUAGAUUCGCGGAACCUGGAUUGAACUGUAGCAUACAUGUAUUUAUGCUUUUGAUCAUGUUCCUUUUUGCAUUUUGUUGCUUAUUAUGGUGCUCAAGUUGUACAAACACUCCCUGGACCUCACAAGUCCGUUGCAAAGUGAUGCACAUGUUUAGGGGGAGAUGUGUUACAACUUGACCCUUUGAGACUAACCAUGUGCUUGAGUUUGAUAAGUUAGUCUCGAAGGAGGAUUGAAAGGGAAAAGGUGGACUUGGACCAUGAAAGACUUCCACUGCACUCCGAUGAGAGGGUAACUAAUUCCAAGUUCAUCUCAUGAAAUCUUAUUGCCAUUUGCUCUUAAUUGAAGACUUUGGUGAGGCAAUGGGGUUCAAGGGCCAAGAUUGAUCCCGUUUUGGUGCUUGAUGCCAAAGGGGGAGAAAAUAAAGGCCAAAGCAAUAAAUGGAUCAGCUACCACUUGAGAGAUUUUGAAAAUAAUAGAGUAGAGUUUUUGUUUUGUCAAAUGCUUUUAUUGUCUCUCUUGUCAAAAGUUGGCUUCUUGUGGGGAGAAGUAGUAAUUAUGGAAAAAGGGGGAGUUUUUGAAAUCUUUGAUCAAUCUCUUUUGGAAAGACUCUCUUUAUGCUUCAACAUGUGUGUUUGACUUAGAGAUAGAGAUUUGAGUUUGAUUUGCAAAAACAAACCAAGUGGUGGCAAAGGAUGAUCCAUAUAUGCCAAAAUUGAAUAAAACUCAAAGAUAGUUUUUAUUUGAAGUAGUUUUGCACUUGUUCCACUUGCUUUAUGUUGUGUUGGCAUAAAUCACCAAAAAGGGGGAGAUUGAAAGGGAAAUGUGCCUUUGGGCCAUUUCUAAGUAUUUUGGUGAUUGAGUGCAAACACAAGUGCUUAAAUGUGAAAAUAUGCCCAAGGAUGAACAAAGUGCAAAUCACAAGUUAAGGUAUGUUUCUAAGCCUUAGUACAUUGGUUUGUGUACUAAUAUUCUUGUCUAAGUGUUAGAAACAGGAAGAAGAAAAGAAGUGGAGAGUGGCUGUGUGCAGUCAAAGGCUGCUUCGGGCUGGGGCACCGGACUGUCCGGUGUGCACCGGACAGUGUCCGGUGCGCCAGACCAGCGCGGAGCAAACCAGCCGCUCUCGGGUUUUUUCUCCGGCGACUUCGGCUAAAAUUCACCGGACUGUCCGGUGUGCACCGGACUGUCCGGUGAGCCAACGGUCGGCCGGGCCAACGGUCGGCCGCACGAUCACCGCGCGACACGUGGCCGAGCCAACGGUCGGAUGGAAGCACCGGACUGUCCGGUGUGCACCGGACUGUCCGGUGCGCCAGAUCUGCAGUAGUCGGCAACGGUCGGCUGCGCCUGUUAAGGAAAGAAAUCGGGCACCGGACAGUGUCCGGUGUGCACCGGACUGUCCGGUGCGCCCGACGACAGAAGGCAAGGAUGGCCUUCCAGAAUUGUUCUCAACGGCUCCUAGCUGCCUUGGGGCUAUAAAAGGGACCCCUAGGCGCAUGGAGGAAAUAACCAAGCAUUCCUUGAGCACUCUUGAUCACUCACACAUCAAUCUUGCGCACUUGUUCGACAUUCUAGUGAUUUGAGCUCCGUUCUAGUGUGCUAGUCUUUUGAGCUCAAGUCUGGGUCUUGGGUGUGCGUAUUCGCUGUGAUCUUUGUGUCGUGUGUGAGUUGCUAAUCCCUCCCUUGCUCUGUGAUUCUCUGUAAACAUCUUUUGUAAGGGCGAGAGGCUCCAAGUUGUGGAGAUUCCUCGCAAACGGGAUUGAGAAAAGAAAAGCAAGAACACCGUGGUAUUCAAGUUGAUCAUUGGAUCACUUGAGAGGAGUUGAGUGCAACUCUCGUCCGUUGGGACGCCACAACGUGGAGUAGGCAAGUUUUGUACUUGGCCGAACCACGGGAUAACCACCGUGUCAUCUCUGUGAUUGAUUUCUUGUGGUUAUUGUGUUUUGACUCCUCUCUAGCCACUUGGCCAUAAUUGUGCUAACACUUAACAAGUCUUUGUGGCUUAAGUUUUGAAGUUUUACAGGAUCACCUAUUCACCCCCCCCCCCUCU
rnacentral:lncRNA from 1 species